ACCAUCGGUAGAUAUGUUGAUGACUUCGAUGUCACCGUAGAACGGUUUGUGGGGUAUGAAACUGGUGUUACAGUUGAUGAAAAAGCCUGCAGUGAUGUUGCAAUCGCCGCCGGUACCGAACGGGUAUGGGAUGAUAACAUCUCCGCAGCGGCUUCGGCAGCCAGGUUUUGCUACCGCUGGUGUUGAAGCUUUUACCGUCAAUAUAACAUUAAGCAAGAUCAUCAGCUGCAUACGCGCUAGUGAUCUGAUGGAACCCAUGGAUGUUUUUUCUAGACUGGAGGAUACCAAUGCAUCAAUUUACAAAUUCAGAAAUAUAUAAAAAGGGUUAGGGAAGCCUGCUUGACCUUACUAAAUACUAACAGUAGGGAGGACGUAAAGUGACCCAAAAGACGAGCGGGGAAUAUCAGUGUUGUCUGUUCUUUGGCUUUCGCUGUUGAAUAACGCGUGGUGACUUUGGAUUGUCCAUAAUUUCUUGGAAUUGAAAUGCUAACUUUGAUUCUGUCAAAUUAUAUAUAUACACAUAUUUAGUGCCUGAUGGCUGUCUAUGGCAGAUAUAAGCUUGUUCUAAAUGUUAGAUGAAAAAACAUUUUGCAUUAAUAAUACAAGAUAAAUAAAUAUUGAAAAUUUAUUCGGUAAAGAAUUUUUAAAAUUCACGAGUUUCCAUAUGUGACAUAAAUAUUUAAGUAUUAGAAAAAAUAAAACACAUUCGGAUUAAGUAUUGCUACUCCAAAAAAGAUAUUAAGUGAUUAUUAAGAAAAGAUAUUUAAUAUAUUUUAAAAUUUGAAUAUAAUUAAAAAUUUAUUGAAAAGUCAUAUCUACCUAAAUCAAGAUUGUGUAUGUUAAUGAUAAAUAUUUAAAAGAAAAUCAAAGCAACAUCAAUUUUUACUACUCCAGACAAUUAUAUGAAGCGAUAGAUGAAUGCAGUUACAACGCAAUACUUUCACAUGGAUUAUAAAGUAAAGAUAUUAGAAAUUAUAUCACUUACCUAGUGUUUUCUUUUAGAAUUUUUGCCAUUUAACUAAGUGAUAACUAUCUGAUACCGGACAUUCAAUCCCCUUUGGUUUAUAUGUAAUUUGCUUUUAAAAUUAUUGUUUUCCUCUGCUUGCACAAGCAUUAAUAAAUAAAAUUAGUAAAAGAAGUGAAACACAUCUUCAUCUAGUGGAUUCCAUUCUCGUAAUUAAAUCAUAAUCUUUGAGAAAAUUAGAAGAUUGAUAAAAUAAUUUAUUAAUAUUCAAACUUAAAUAAAGAUAAAAUAUGAAUACAUAUCUAAAAGAAAGAUAUUUAAUUAUAAAAUAUGAAUACGUAACUAUACAAUUCUUACAUUUAGACAUAGACAUCUAAAACUUGAUAGCAAACAUACAUGUACAAAGUUCUAAUAAGUAGAAAACUUAGGUCUUUUCACUUGGUUUUGCUUGCAAUACAAGUAGAUUUUAUGAUUUUCUUUUACAUUGAUAAUAUAAUACAACAAAGUGAAGUUAAAAAUAAUUGAAAUGCGGAUAAAUUUGAUGUGAAAAUGAUAUUAAAAUUAUAAAUUUUAAGUUAUCAAGGUUGACUAGGUUUUAAAUUAGUUUGAUAUAUAUUAGCUGUAAGAUCUAACCUGAAUUCUAUAUUAAUUAAUUAUGAGAUGAAUAAAGAUGUCGUAUGUAAAUGAUAUUAAAUAAUUAAUCAAACAUAAAUCAAAUCAAAGUAAUUGGAAAAAAUAUUUUAGUUUAAGUUGAUUUGAUUUGAUUUGAAUGUUAUGUUUGAUGAUGAAUUGAUUAGUUUGAUCUUUAAUAAAGAAAAGUUCCUGUAAGUAUGUUUACUUUUUUUUUUAAUAAAGAAAAUGAAGGUCAUAAAUAAAUAGUGAAAGAAAAACUAAUCAAAUGAAGAUUUUUCAUUUUAAAUAGAGAUGAGCUUCCAUCAAAAUAAUUUGUUAGGAAAUAAAAAUAGUAUGAAUGGACCACAAAAUUAAUUGCAUUCUCUUUUAUUAAAAAAAUAUUAAAAAGUCCAAACUACAAUUCCAAUUGUAAACUCAAAUGGAUUAAAUAAAGUACAACACAUUGAAUAGUCUUUGUUAACAUUCCAAUUGUCUUAAUCAUCACAACUGUACAUGUUGACUAACAAUCUUCAUCAUCACCAAGUAAUUACUCCAAAAUUUGUCUAAACUAAUAUUAAAAACAUUCUUUACCUUCCCUAUUUUAGACCCAUUCUAAGCAAUAAACUUCUUGGAAGUGAUCAUGGCUUGCAAAUGACACUUAUAAUCAUGCAAAUUCUUCAAAGUAAUAAAAGUAAUGGCAAAACAUUUCUUACUAGGACGACAAUCAACCCAAAGUCCAUUUGUGAUUAUACACAAAAAUUGUAAUAGAAGAAGCAUGCUAAAUUAAAAUGAGAUGUUUUACGAACAUCCUUCAAAAUUAAAUUGAUACAACGUGCUGCACAUGGUGACCAAAAGAUGUUAGGAUACUUCUCAUGACAAAAUUUCCUAACAUCUUUAUAAUUUGCAGCAUUAUAUGUAAUUAGCUAGACCACAUUGCUCAAACCAACAAUUUUUACAAUCUUCGCAAAUAAAUUGCAAAGAGUAUCGACAUCUAAAAUCAUGUCUGAUGCGUUAAUGGGUUUGAUAAAGCAUAAUCCUUUAGGAAAAUAGACUAGAAACUUGGUUGAUGACUUUUGUCUCGUAUCUUUCUACCCACCUCCCAUUAUGGUGCAUCCACAUUCUACCUCAAUGCUGUAAAUCCCUUUUUGAGUAUUCUAGUAGAUUGGUUCACAAUGCAUGAUAUGAUGGAGCUUUGUAUCUCAAUCCCAUAUAUGCUAUGGCAUCAAGGCACAGUUGAAACUUGUGAAUCUUUGAUCCUAUUUGUAGAGUCUAAAAACUCCGUUGGCAAUAUAUCAAAUAAAUUAUUUUAUUUUUUUAAUAUUUUAACACUUGUCAAUCUCCUGACAUUGGUUAUGGAGUCUAAAAACUUUAUUGGUUAUGUACCAAAUAAUAUUCCAAAUAAAAAAGUAUUAACUUGACAGUGUACUUUUUUUAUUCCAUAAGCAUUCUUAAAAAAAUUGACAUUGUCUUUCUUUUUAAUAUCUAUUUUUUUUUAAUAUUUCACUAUACUUUUACAAGACAUUUGUCCACCCCUGAUCAUGCUUAUGAAGUCUAAAAAUUCUACUAAUUGUGUUUUGUUAUAAAAUAAAGAAAGAUGGAAAGAAUAUUGAUCAAUUGGGAUGAUUACAAUGCUUCAUCAGAGUCUCUAUUUAUAGGCAUAAGAAGUAUAAAAGAAGUAGAGAUCUAAUUCUAAUAACUAUUAGAAUUUAAAGUACAUUAAAACUUUAUCUUGAUCAUGAUAGACAUCCACUUAAUAAGAUAUUCAUAACACUCCCCCUUGCAUAUCCAUUGGUAGAUAAUAUACCUCGUUAAAACCUUAUUAAGAAACCCUGUGGGAUAAAAACCUAAUGAAGGAAAAAGAGUACACAAUCUAUAAUACGCAUAAUAUGCUGCCUCAUUAAAAACCUUACUAGGAAAACCCAAUUAGACAAAACCUCGAUUAAGGGAAAAAGAGUAUAACACAUAUUUACUCCCCGUCAUGAAAACAUCACAUACUUUCUCAUAUUUUACGUAUUCAAUCUUGAAUACUAGUUUUUCAAAUGUCUAUUUGAAUGUAUUGCUAAGUAUUUAUAUCACUAUUCUUUUAAAAGUCAUGAGUGAGGGAAAUUUGGGAAAAUACAUUUUGAUCUCUUUAGGAGAUUCAACAAUAAUCAUAACAAACUUUAAUUCUUUUGUAAAAACACAAAUGGGUAUUUUGGAUCAUUUUAUAAUCCUCCUUCAAUUACUAUUCACUAAGUCAAAUUUAACACAUAUAUUCAAAUUAUUUCAAUUCAUAUAAAUGAACAAUUUCUCGAGAAGUUCAAUAUGCUUCUAGCAUCCUAAAUCCUUUAAAGAUUUUACUAUAAACUUUACUAUAUAGUGAUUCAUAAAAGGUUGUAAUAAUAACCAUUAGACGCAAGUUAAAUCUUUUAUGAAUUGUCAAUUUAAUAAUAUAUCUAAAGGUUAUUGCAUCCACCACAAAAGAAUAUUAUAUCUUUUCAUAAUUAAUGGCAGAACUUAGCGAAAAACUUUAUAUUUUUAUUCUGCUUUUGCAGAACUACUUCAAUUGAACCCUCACUGACUUUAUACCUUUAGAUAUUUGGACUACUGGUCCAAAAACUCUAGAAAUUUAAUUGUACUUGAGUUAUGUCUUUUUAUUUUGAUCAAUUUAUUCCAUAUCUAUAUUUCUCAAUAGAUUUAUUCAAGAUCCUCCUUUUACCUCAUUAUUUCAAUAGUAAUAUUGCAUGCAAAAUCAUUGUCGACCAAUUUUAUUAUUUGGUUCCACAUUUUCUCGAAUUGACAUAACUUAUCGAGAUCUCUUAUUUUUAUUAUUUUAAAAUUCAGUUUCAGGUACCUGAAUCUCUUGUAAAGUUUUACUUAUUAGUUAUGUCUUAGGUCUCUUCUAGAGCACCCGCCUCUACUGUAUGACCAUCUAGAAGAAUUUUCAUUUUGGAACCGAUAAAUCUAUUAUUUAUUAUAACUAAUUGUCCUACUGGGACUUUGAUUCAAAUUAAAAUAUUAGAUGAUAUAUAACACUUGGUUAUUCUCAUUAUUCAAAUUAAAAUAAUAUCAAGAAAUGAAAAAAAAAUUUUAAAACGUGACAUUAUAAGCACAAUCAUUUCUGGUUAAUGAAAUAUAAGCAUAACUAAUUGGCUUUCUAAUUCCAGCUUGAGUUUAUCAUUUCACUUUGUAAUUAAAUCUUUAAUUAAGCUUGUAAAUUGACGUGAUAUUAUGAGUUUUAUCGUUUCACUUUGUAGUUAAUUUUUUUUAAAUGAGAUGAAAAUAAUAUUUCGACGACUAAGAAUAGUGAUAGUAACUGAUUUAUUUGGUUUACAAACUAAGUUUUUAGAUGUAUAUUUGAGGGAAAAUGGCCCCGAUAACAGCUUUUGUUCAUAAUAUCAUGGAAAAGUUAUUAACGCAUUCAUUCCGGUGAAAAAAAAAGUAAGAGUGGAAAAAAGAUUUGGUUUUGUCAGAUGUAGUAAUAUGACGGAUGGGAGAAGGGCUAUUAGUCGAUCAAACGACUAUGAUAUUUUAGGAAAUGUUAGACUUUCACAAAAUAUUCAUAAAAGAAGACUUUAUUACUGUUUAUUAUUUCUCCUUUAAUGCAUGCAGAAGUCUCAUGCAUUUAUAGACAUACGUACAAUAAAGAAACUCUGGUAACAGACUAACUGCAAUCGAUAACUACACUAAUAGCCUUAACAACUUUAACAACUUUGAUAACUACUCUAACAUUCCCCUUGCUUAUUUGUUUUUGUAUUACAAAGAUCUCUUGAUGGCAGCACUCGAAGAGCACGUCUGAAGGAAGAAAAUUGCUUAGGCGUGAUCGGUUUUGUAAGGACAUCUGCAAUUUGUUGAGCAGAGGGAACAAAAUUGACUUGUAAACAACCAGCAAGUAUUUUUUCCCGAACAAAAUGAUGGUCUAUUUCAACGUGUUUCAUUUUGGUAUGAUGAGUGGGAUUUUCAGCAACAGAUAUUGUGGAAGAGUUGUCGCACCAGAUGGUUGGUAUCUUAGACAUUGACAUUCCAACUUCAUUUAGCAACUGUUGAGUCGAUAGGAGUUCAGACACGCAGUUAGCUAAGUUGCGAUAUUCUGCUUCAGCAGAGGAACGAGAGACUACGGACUGUUUCUUUGAACACCAAGCCACAGGAUUUGACCCAAGAUAUAUCACAUAUCCAGAAGUGGAACCCCGAUCUUCGAUGGAAGAGGCCCAGUCAACAUCCGAAUAUCCUACCAGUUCUAGUUGUCCUGCUGUAAGACACAAACCAUGAUCCAUGGUGCCAGCUAAAUAUCUUAAUACACGUUUGACUGCCCUCCAGUGAGUGUCACUUGGUGCACUCAUGUAUUGGCUAAGUUUAUUGGUGCAAAAUGACAAUUCGGGUCGUGUAAUACAAACAUACUGAAGCAUGCCCACAACACUUCUAUAUAAGUGCACAUCAGAGAAUGGAGGACUGCCAUCAGAAGCUACCAGCUUAGGCGUGCUUACCAUCGGAGUUAGCGUGGAUGUUGCUCCAAGCAUUCCAGUUUUCUCAAGUAGUUCAGUAACAUAUUUCUUUUGACUGAGCAUCAGUCUCUGUGAAGUGCGGCGAACAUCAAUGCCCAAAAAAAAACUGAGUGCUCCCAUGUCCUUGAGAGCAAAUUUGCUGUGAAGACACUGCACAACAUCUUCAAUGUCUUGAUCAUGACUUCCAGUAAGUACAAUAUCAUCAACAUAGACCAUGAGUAGAAGACACUUCCCAUCAGACACACGAAUGAACAAGGAGGAAUCAGCUUUAGAUGCUCGAAAAUCGAGUUGAGUCACGAGAUACUCCUUAAGAGUCUGAAACCAGGCGCGAGGAGCUUGUCUCAACCCAUACAGUGCUUUAUUUAGUUUGCACACCAGUUUUUGACCAGAGACACUUGGGACUUCAAAGCCAGGAGGUUGGUCCAUGUAUAUUUCUUCAGUAAGCUUACCAUUGAGGAAAGCAUUGUUAAUGUCGACUUGGCGUAGAGACCACCCCUGCAUAACUGCAAGUGAAAGAACAGUGCGAAUGGUGGAAGCUCGAACCACUGGACUAUAUGUAUUAUGGAAAUCAAACCCAGCAUGUUGAGAAAAACCUUUUGCAACUAACUGAGCUUUGUAUCUGUCAAUGGAGCCAUCAGACUUUCUUUUAACCUUAAACAAUCAUUUGCACCCUACUGCCCUCCGAUUCUCUGGAAGGGAACACAAAGUCCAGGUAUUAUUUCGAGCCAAGGCUUGGAGCUCACUAUAAACUGCUUCCUGCCAACACUCAAACAUCAUUGCCUCAUGAAUAUUGGAAGGAUCAUCUUUUUUGGAAGAAGCUGCUGUACUAAGAUACACCUUUGGCUUAAAAACUCCAGCCUUGCUUCUAGUAAUCAUGUGAUGAUUAUUGAGGGUCAAGGGUUGGAGAGGUUGCUCCUGUUGUUGAAGAGAAGUCAACAUAGGUGCGGAUUGUGGGGAUGGUAUUGUUUGUUGAGAAGAGGGUGUUAAAGGUGAUAAAGUAGGUGUACUAUGUAUUACAUUAUGGGAAGCAGAUUGUGAGUGAGACAUUGCAUGUGAUGGGAUAGGUGUAGUGGAGGUAGGUGGCGUAUUUGGUGGAAGUGUAGACAAAGUGCUAGAACACGACACAUGGGGUGAAGGAACAACUAAAAGUUUAGCACUAACUUGUGAACUAGAAACAGGUGAUGUAACUGGUGAACAAUGACUUUUGUAUGGAAAAGUAUUUUCAUUAAAGGUGACAUGACGGGUAACAUAGACUCUACCAUUGGGGUCUUUACAUUUAUAACCUUUAUGUACUGAGGAAUAACCUAGAAAAACACAGGGUAUUGAACGAAAUUGUAACUUUGCUUUGGUAAACGGCCGAAUGUUGGGAAAGCAUAAACAACCAAAAGUUCUAAGGUAAGAGUAGUCGGGUUUUGUUUGAAAUAGUUUUUCAUAUGGUGAGACAUCACCCAAAGGAUGAGAGGGUAACCUGUUAAUCAAGAACACGGCACUGCAGAAGGCUUCAUUCCAAAACAUCAGAGGCAUUGAUGCAUGAGCUAACAUAGAAAGACCUGCUUCAACAAUCUGCCUGUGUUUACGCUCAACAAGGCCAUUCUGAGCAGAUGUGUAGGGACAUGUGAGUCGGUGCACAAUACCUUGUUGAUUCAGAUAAGUUUUCAAAGCCUGAAACUCUCAUCCCCCGUCUGUCUGCAGAGACUUGAGCUUUGUACCAAGUAUUCUUUCAGCUUGGCGAUGAAAUUGUGGAAACACAUUUUAAACUUCAGAAUUGUUCUUCAGAAAAUAAAGCCAUGUAUACCGAGAAUAGGCAUCAGUGAAGGCAAUGUAAUACCGAAAACCAUUGGAAGCAAUUGGAGCUGGUCCCCAAACAUCAGCCACAAUCAGUUGUAGAGGUGAAGUAUACACAGUUGCUGAUUUUGUAAAAGGAAGCUUACAUUCCUUACCAAGAUGGCAUGCCACACAAUCAACAAAUUUAUUACUAUCAGUAAAUGGUAUAUUACAUCUUAUAAGUGCUUUUCUAAGAUUAGCACGACAGGGGUGUCCUAGUCGAUAGUGCCAAACACUAAGAGGAAGUUUGACACUAGUCGAAAAACACUGAGCAGACUUGAAAGGCGCAUGAGCUCCAGUAGAUUGAUUAAUAUGAAGUCUGUAUAACCCAUGAUGAACGGAACCACGAAGUAAAAUCUCCCUUGUCUUCAAAUCACGCACUUGGCACUGAUCAGGGAAAAAUUCAAACAUGACCUGAUUGUCUUUAGCAAACUUGGAGACAGAUAAUAGAUUUUUAGUAAUUCCAGGAAUGAGUAACAAGGAUCGUAUGUACAGAGGUCGAGAGUGAGUAAGCAAGGACGACUGUCCAGCAGACAUAACAGGCAAAGCCGAACCAUUGCCAACAAAUACCUUACCUGGGCUUUUGAAAGAUCCAGAUUCACCAAUGGAGCUAGCUGAAUUUGUUAAAUGAUGCGUGGCACCUGAAUCCGGAUACCAAGAAUUAUCAGCCACAGUUUCAGGGGUUGCUACAUACACCUGAGGUGGUGUUUGAGCUGUACCAGAGGACGGCAUGGGAACCUGUUGUGGAGAACUACCAACAAACGGAUUAGUCCAAGUAGACGAUGGAGGAGUGGAAAAACACCAACCUGAUGAAUUCCAUUGAGGUUGAGAAGAAGUGAACCAAGGCGUAGUAAAAGAACCGGAGCCAGCCAUGCUGAUGUUUGCUUGUAGAGGAGGCCUGUAGUUAGUACUCUUGUAAGAAGAGUCAAACCGAUGAUAACAGCGAUCAACAAGAUGACCAGCCUUCCCACACAACUGACAUUGAAUCUUCGAGUGAAAAAAAUGACCUCGCCCACGCCCCCGAUUCAUAGAUGAUGGUUGAUAAGAAGGAAUGGGAUCAUUAGAAGCUGUGGAGUCAGACGUUUGAUGCAAUACCACGUUAGCAGAACUAGAAACUUCAGUACUCACAAGCUGUUGUCGUGCUUCAGCAUCAAGAAGCAUAGACACUACUCCUUGAACUGUGUAGGGAACUUGGCUGGAAGUAACAAUGGUAAUAACAGAUUCAUAGUCUGGAGGAAGUCCAUUGAGAAUUGCAGUGAUGUGCUCAUGCUCACUAAUGAUUUCACCACAACUGGCAAGAUGAUCACAACAGCCUUUAAUCUUGACCAAAAAAUCUUUCAUGCUCAUUUCACCCUUGCGCUGAGAGUGCAAAGUCCGCCGAUAAAACGUUAAUUUGGAAGUGGUUUUACUCCUAUACAAGGCAACAACUGCUUUCCAGAUCUUCGCACUUGUAUCCAUGCCAAUAAGGUGAGGGAGAACAGACGGACUAAUAGAAGAUAAUAGCCACGACGCAAGCGCACUAUCUUGUUGCUCAAAAUGCGCAAACUCCGGAUUUUCACAACAACCCCCAUUGUCAUCGGAAAUAAACUGAGUAGGAGGAUCUUGAUUCUCAUCCAAGAAACGCUGAAGCUUGUGUGCUUUCACUGCUAAAAGAACUUGCUGUCUCCACAACAAAUAGUUGCUAUCAUCAAGAAGAACACUGAUCUUCUUUGAUGAAAAAAUCUUACUAUCGACAACUCCAUCAACAGAACUGCAGGCCAUACUGAAUAUACACAGCGGAAAAUCAAGUAAAAAACACCAAGAAACACUUUAAAUCUGAUACCAUGUUAGACUUUCACAAAAUAUUCAUAAAAGAAGACUUUAUUACUAUUUAUUAUUUCUCCUUUAAUGCAUGCAGAAGUCUCAUGCAUUUAUAGACAUACGUACAAUAGAGAAACUGCUGGUCACAGACUAACUGCAAUCGAUAACUACACUAACAGCCUUAACAACUUUAACAACUUUGAUAACUACUCUAACAGGAAAUAGAUUAUUGGUGACUUAGCCAAGUUUAAGGAGGGAGAUAGAUAUGGAAAAAAUCUUCAACGGAAGGAAAUGCAGAACAGAGACAGAACGAAAAAAUAAAAUGGGGGAGAAUGAAAAGUUGCAAGAAUUUAGCAAAACAGAAUUAGGAGAAAGUUCCUCGAGGAGUAAUAAUGAUCCAAAUAAGAUAGAAAAGGAGGAUGACAAGGUAAAGAAUAUCAGCAUAGUGGUUCAAGGACAUGUUGAAGAGGAGCAACAUUGGAAGCUUCAUAGAUGUUUGGUGGGUACAACAGCAGCGUGUUGUGAUACAAAAAGUUUAUUUGAAAGAAUAGUUAGGAAUGGAUUAGGGGAAAAUUACAGUCAAAAGAAUUCAAGGAAGAUAAUUUUUUAUUGAAAUACCAGAUGAGGAAUUGUUUGAUGUGUUAAAGCAAAACGAUUGGGCGUACUUAAGAGAGUUCUUUAUUAACAUAUAACUUUGGUCAGGGACAAUAAUGGUAGAGGAAAAAGUGUCGUGGAUUGAAGCAUAUGGUAUCCCCCUACACUGUUGGAACUAUACUUCCUUCAAAAGAAUAGCAAUUGUAUAGGGUGAGUUAAUAUCCCUUGGAGAGAAGCCGGUAAUGGUUAACAGCUUGGAUAAAAUGUUAAUGUUGGUAUCCAUCAAGCAACCGAAAAGAAUAAACGAGAUAAUUUAUUUAGAGGUGGGGAAGACUAAAUUUCCCAUAAGAGCCACUGAAAUGGGAUUAUCGAAAUUUAAAGGUGAUAACAGAAAGGUCUAUAGUGUGAAGGGAAGAGAAGAGCAUGAAUUAGUACAGGAAAGGGAUGACACUUUCGUGUCUGAAUCUGAAUCAACGAUGAGAUUAGGAUUGGAACAGAAUCCAGAGGAGAGACAAGGUUGGGAAAAUGAAGCAAUCAAUGCGAUUAUUCUCAAAAAAUCAAACGAUAAUUGCGGAUGUCAGAACAUUUCUCAAAACGUGAUUAAGUUGGAAGAGAAACUGAUCAGUGGAAUUAGGGUCGAAACUAGGGUGGGGGAAGGAUUUAAAAAGUGUGCAACAACCGGGCCAGGGAAUAUAUGAGUAAUAUGGGCUUCGCAAUAGAUGAAUUAGGAUUGGAAAAUGUGGAUGGGGUCUAAGAUGAGCAACGAAAUAGUGAGAAGGGUAUGGGCUUGGUGAUGGAUGUGGGCUUACAGAAAGUCAAUCCAAAUAAGUUAGAGGGGAACAGAUUGCAACAAACAAAAUGAAAAAUUGGGUGAUUUGGGAGGAGGAGGAGUAGAUAGAGAAAAAAAGGUUUCAGUUGAAGCACCUUCAAAUUUUCUUAAACAGAAGAAACAAAAAAGUGAUGGAAGAAAGAUUUGAUUUAGAAUAGAAUUCUUUUAGCAAUGGAGAAGAAGAAGAGAGAUCGGGCGUUGAAAAAGUAGAAAGGCAAAUGAAUUGUGGGCAGAGAGAAAGUUAUUGUUAAUGCUUCUCUCUCAAACUCUGACAUUAGCAAUAGAAAUAGAUUGAUUCUUAGGGAGGCAAGGAACGCAUGGAAAGUGGGGAAAAAUCUUGGGUUCAGCAUUCGGGGCAACGAACGAGAUGUUGUUAGAGAGAAUAUGAAAUUGGAAGAAAUGUAAAUCUGAGAAAAAAAGAAAAGUACAGAGGUCAAUAGGCCACAGGUUAGGUUAGUACCAAUUAUAAUCGUGAUUUUUUACUGUGAAUAAGAGUCUUUGGGGGAAAGAAUGAGGAUUUUAUAAUGGAACAUUAGGGGUAUGUCUUCAGAUUUGAAAAAAAAGUUAUCUCAAAAGAGUAAUCUUUAAAGCUAGAAUAGAUGUUUGCUUCAUUUAGGAAUCAAAAUUAGAAGAGGUUACGUAGGGAAUUCAACUAUUGUAAGGAAUUUAGGAGGUGUAAUUACAGUAUGGGAUAAAGGUAAGUUUUGAGUAGGUAGUUAUAUAUGUUCUAAACAUUUUGUACUAGUGGAAGGAAAAUGGUUAGAAGAAGGUUUGGAAGCUACGUUGAUUAAUGUUUAUGCACCUAAUGGGACUUCAAAUCAAAAAUCUUUAUGGGAGGAAAUUGUGGAGUUGAAGGGCUCGUUUGCCUACUCAUGGAUCAUGCGGGUGAUUUUAACACAGUAAGAAAAAGGAGUGAAAGAAGUAAUUGUGUGGGACUGGUGAAUGGUUCAAAGGCAUUUAACAGUUUUAUUGAUGAUUGUAAAGUGGUGGAUUUACUUCUGAUGGGUAAGAAGUUCACUUGGUUCGGGCCAAAUAACAAGAUGAGUAGAUUGGAUUGAUUUUUAUUGGAUGAAUAAUGGUUAAUUCGCUUCAAAGACUUUACUCAGAAAGGCUUUUAUAGAUCGGUUUCCGAUCAUAUUUCGUUACUACUAUAUAAUGAUUUUGUGGAUUGGGGAUCGCGCCCAUUUAAUUUUCUUAUUGCAUGGAUCAUAAAAAAGGAGUUCACGAAUCUUAUUAAUGAAGUAUGGGGAGGGAUGGGUGAAGCUAAAAUAAGGAUGUUCGGAAAGCUAAAGAGGUUGAAACUGGUUAUCAAAGAAUGGAAUGAAAAAUCUAGUAGGAAUGAAGAUAAAAGAAAUAGAAAUGAUUGAAAGAAAAUUUUCGGAAUAGGAUGAUAUUGGCAGCCACAGAAAUUUGAAUGAAAAGGAAAUAGAAGAAAGUAGCUGAUUGAAUAUAGAGUUGUGGGAUGCAAUUAGGUUCCAUGAAUCAGUGUGGCGUCAAAAAUCAAGGUUGUUAUGUUUAAAAGAAGGUGAUUCCAACAUUGUUUUUUCAUAAAGCAGUGAAAUUUAGAGCUAAAAAAAUUAUUCAAAGGCUCAGAUUUGAGUCUUAUUGGUGCAAAGAACCGGAGCUACUGAAGAAAAAAAUGUUCGAGUACUUUAGCAACCAUUUUAGUUGUCCAGUUAGAAAAUGAGUAGUGAAGAUGGAUCUAAAUUUUAAAAGAUUAAUAGAGGAAGAAGCUUCAAGGCUUGAAAUGCCUUUCACGAUGGAGGAGAUUAAAGACGCAGUUUGGGGUUGCAAUGAGUUUAAAGCUUUAGGGCCUGAUGGGUUUAAUAUGUUCUUCUUUAAGAAAUGCUAGUAGGUGAUGAGGGAGGAUUUAUUCAACAUGAUGAUGGGGUUAUUUAGACUUGAAAAGCUUGAAAAAAAGUAUAAAGUCAUCCUUCAUAGCUCUUAUUCCCAAAACCGAUUUGUUUGAUAGGAUCUUUAUAUAAAAUAGUGGCUAGCUAAGGUGCUGUCUAGACGAAUUCGAGAGGUGAUUGAUGGUGUAGUGAGCGAUACUCAGUGUACAUUUAUAAAAGAGAGACAGAUUUUUGGCAAAAUUCUGGUGGCAAAUGAAAUUAUUCACUCAAUUGUGAAAAAUUCGAGCUCGGGUGGUAGUUUAAUUUUGAAGUUGGACUUUUCAAGAGCCUAUGAUUGUGUUAGAUGAGGCUUUUUGGAUUUGGUACUUUUUUAGAUAGGGUUUGGGGUGAAUAGAGAGGGUGGAUAUCUAAUUGCGUAUCUACAACAAGAGCAACUAUUCUUGUCAACUGAUUGACAACAAAUGAGUUCAGAAUAAGCAGGGGCUCAGACAAGAGAUCUGCUUUCUCCAUUUCUGUUUAUUCUAGUAACAUAAGUGUUUCACUUGAUGCUUGAGAAGGCUGAAGAUAUUGGGUUAAUUGCUAGCAUUUAGAAUAUAAUCCCGAAUCAAUCAUUCUCUCUUCUACAAUUUGUAGAUGACACCAUUCUCUUUUUGAAAGCUGAGGAAGAGUAUGUUCUAAAUAUUAUAUAUAUUUUAAGGUGUUUCGAAUCUUUUUUUUGUCUUAGUAUUAAUUUUCAGAAAUCAUGCUUGGUGGGAUUUUGGACGAAAGAGGAGUUUCUUUUGCGCAUGGCAGCAUUUGGUGCUGAUCCGAGAAAAAUAGCUACUUGGGAGCCAAUUGUGGAAAAAUAUCGGAAGAAACUAGCUGGUUGGAAAUGUCAGUCGCUCUCUUUUGUUGCAAGAGUAAUACUAACUAAUUUGUUACUGUUAGCCCUCCCUAUAUAUUUCAUGUCAUUAUUUCAAGCCCCUAUCACGGUGAUAAAUAGAAUCGAUAAAAUCAGAAGAAAAUUUAUGUGGUGAGGUACAAAUGAAAGAAGAAGAAUGGCAAGAGUUGGAUGGAAUCAAGUGUGUUUACCAAAACAAUUAAGAGGGGUUGGUGUGGUAAAUCUUAAAAUUAGAAUCGGGCUAUUGUGGCAAAAUGGGGAUAGAAAUAUGCUACGAAAAAUAACGCUUUGUAGAAAAAAGUUAUCCAUUCGAAGUAUGGCUCACCUAUGCAACAUUGGUGAUUUAAGACAUCUAAACCAAAAGAGAUGUCGAUUGUAUGGCGCGAUAUUAUGAAAAAUUCAAAAUUAGAGGAAGUAUCAAAAUGGAUUAGGACAGAAUCUUUUAGGUAGGUGAUUGGGAAUGGGAAAUCGUUCCUCUUUUGAGAGGAUAUUUGGUGUGGUAAUUGACCUCUGAAGGUGGAGUUUCCUAGAUUGUUCAGACUUGCUAUUGUGAAGAAUAUUGUGGUCAACAAUGUAGUAAGGAAUAAUGGGUUUGAGGAGGUAUAUUGGGGAGGACGUUUUCUCAAGGAAGUUGCUGGGUAAAGAGGUAAUUAUGUUGAACAAUUUCAAGAAUUUGAUUAGGAGUUUUGAACUAGAUCUUGAAGUGGAGGACUGUAUCAUUUGGAUUCAUGAUAGUGCCAGAGAGUUUACAGUUAGGAAGUUGUCUCAAUUGUUGUCUUAUGAUGGAAUAGGAGCUAUUGAUUUCCCAUUUGAAAGGAUUUGAAAAUUGAAGGUACCACCAAGAGUCCAAAACUUCCUAUGGAUGUUGUUUAUUAAGAGUUGCAACGAAGGAUUUUUUGAUUAGCCGGGGGGUAAAUCUGGAUAGGUGUACAAAAAAUAUUAUGGUGGAUUACGAUUUCGGUGUCAUGUUGGACCGUGUAGUUAGCUUGGAACGAUAAAGUGUUCGACAGGACAUCGACGAAUCUAGAUACAAUAUUGUACCACUCUAAAAUGAUAACUUUGAUGUGGGCUAGGGCAGUGCAUGAAGAAUGUCAAUUUUAGGAACGUUAUUGGUGGUAUUGGCGAGCGAAAUUUAGCUCCUCAAAAAGCAUGACAAACAUUAUUGUUUACCAUUGGAAGCCACCUCCUCCCGAAUGGAUGAAAUUCAAUAUGGUUGGCUUUGUUUUGGAGGAUGAAGCGGGUUGUGGUGAGGUUUUGAGAGAUGAUAAAGGAGUGACUUGUGCGUUUUUCUCGGGUCGGAUCGAAGCUAAGGGAACAAAAAAUGGCAAAAAUAAUAGCAAUUAAAAUAAUAGUGGAUAUGGAUAUUGGAUCGAGUCCGAAGGCACAUGUUCCAUUAAUAAUUGAAUUAUGCUCGUUUGUUGCUUCAGAAUGGUUGAUAAAUAGGAGUUAUAGACCUUGGUUAUUACGUAAAUUGUUUGGUGACAUCGACUAUGGCAUUAAACAGUUGGCUCAAUUUCAGAUCGCAGUUAUUCAUCGACAAAGUAAUGGUAUGGAGGAUGCUUUUGCAGAAACAGGUAUAUCGAGAUCUUCUUUUUUUAAAGCCUUGUGGUGAAUUUGUUAAAUGCAUUCUUUUGCUUUUUGUGCGGAGGUUUUUGUAUCUGGUUGUUUGUUGUAUUAUUGUCGUAUUCUUGCUAUUCUUGAAACAGCUAGUGGUUCCAAUGUCUUUCUUGAAUUAUUUUAUUCGACUGAGAAAAAAAAACUUUAUAUUAUAAAUUUCUUUCUACUUUAGCAAUUAUUUUGGAAUUAGAAUACUUCUCAAUUCAUAUUAUUUGUUUAUAUUAAAUUAUAAAGUAAAAAUUUAAAACUUUAAAAAUACUAUAAACCUCUACAAUUUGUACAUUUAGACAUAGACUUCUAAAACUUGAUAGCAAACAUAUAUGUACAAAGUAUUAAUUGGUGGAAAACUUAUGUCUUUUUACUUAGUUUUGCAUGCAAUAAAUUUUAUGAUUUUUUUACAUGAUACUAUAAUAUAACAAAGUAAAAUUAAAAAUAAUUGAAAUGCGGAUAAAUUUGAUGUGAAAAUAGGGAUAAUAAAAUUAUAUAUUUUAAGUUAUCAACAUUGAUUAGGUUUAAAAUUAAGUGUAUAUAUUAUCUAGAUUUAAGUUCUAACAUGAUUUUUUUAUUAUAUUGAUUAUGAGAUGCACCAAUAUGUAAAUGACAUUAAAUAAUUAAUAAAACAUAAAUCAAAUCAAAAUAGUUGGUAAAAGUGUUUUAGUUGAUUUGAUUUGAAUUGAAUAUUUUAUGUUUGAUGAUCAACCGAUUAGUUUGAUCUUUAAAAACUUGAGUCCCCGAACGUAUGUUUACUUUUAACUUUUUAAUAUAAAAAUAAAAGUUAAAAUAUAUAGUAAAAGAAAAACUAAUCAGAAGAAGAAUUUUCAUUUUUUAAAUAGAGAUGAGCUUUCCUACAAAAUAUUUGGUGGAAAAUUCAUUAGGAAAGGAUAUUGUAUGAAUGUACCACAAAAUUAAUUGCACUCCCUUUGAUUAGAAAAGUAUUAAAAAGAUAAAAACGUCAUAAUCCAAACUCCAACCUUCAAAAUCCAAUACCAAUAUCAUUCAAAAUUGCAAACUCAAAUGGAACAAAUAAAGUAGAAUACAUUAGAAUAGUAUUCAUUAACAUUCCAAUUGUCCCAAUCAUCACAACCAAAAUAAAAAAGAUAAUCUUCAACAAGUUGGCUAACAAUCUUCAUGAUCACAAGUAAUCACUCAAAUAUUUGAUGUCUAAAAUAAUAUUUUGAACAUUCUUUGCCUUUACUAUUUUAGACCCAUUCCAAGCAAUAAAAUUCUUAAAAGUGACAUGACUUGCAAAUGGCACUUACAAUCAUAAAAAUUCUUUAAAGCAACAAAAAUAGUAGCAAAGCGUUUCUCACCAAGAUUACAACCAAUCCAGAGUUCAUUUGUGAUUAUACACAAAAACUAUAAAAGAAGAAUCACGCUAAACUAAACUCUUAACAUGAUAUAUUUACCAAUAUUCUUCUAAAUUAAAUUGAUGCAAGGUGCUGCACAUGGUGACCAUAAGAUGGUAGGAUACUUCUCAUUAAGUAAUCUCCUAGUGGCUUUAUAGUUUGCAGCAUUAUAUGUAAUUAGUUAGACCACAUUUGUAACACCCCAAAGAUUUAAUUCUUGCUUUGAUAAAACUUUGUCAUAGUUAAAUACCUACUUUAGUGGUUAAGGGCAUUGGGUGUGAAGGGUGGGUUGUGAGUUUAAGUCUUUUGGAGAGUAUUUUGCUAAGUAAUUUUUGGUUGUAUUACUUAGUAGAAUUUGAGUUAAAGUUUAACUCUAAGAGUGGGGGGGAUAUAUGUUGCUUGAUUAUGGGGAUAGGAGGUGGGUAGUUGUAUUGGUUUAAAUUAUAAGUUUUAAUUUAUUAAAACAAACAAACAAACAAAACUUCUUCCCUCAAACCCACAUUUCCACUUUCUUUCUUUUCUUGUUUUUUUUCUCUCUUCUUACACCACUGUCAUUUUGGAAGUGGGUAAUUUUUAAUCUUUCUUUUUGCUAUCCUAUUGACAUUUGAUUACUUGCAAUUGGAGGCUGCUUGUUUGGCUCCUUCACUUUUGUUAUCUUAGGUAAUGUUAAUGGAUCUUUAAUCGUUUAGUUUUGGGGUUAUGAGAUGCUAGUGGUGUUAUUAUUUUGUAGUCGUUAAUUAUUUAGUUCUGUGUUUAGGUAAAGGUCGUGAGACAUUUGGCACUCCUUCAACAUCGUACUUUCGCAUGGUUGUGGUUUGAUUAACUGUAAGACUAUGGAAGUGUUUUGGUGUUGGAAAAGUUUAAUUCUUAAUUGCCUUGUGCCUCGUUACCAUUAUAAUCUUUUUAUUUAUUGUAUUUCGGUCUCAGGAGUCUUGUGGUUGCAUUCCCGUCGAAAUCAAACCAAAUGGGUAACGAGAAACUCGAAAUCUAUGAACGGCGAAAGCCAAAAUUGGGGCCUGUCGACGCCACGUGGCCGUGUACGACACAAGGUCUAGGCCAUUUUUGGUCGUGUGGGCCUAAUUUUAAGAAUUUUUUCCUAAGGUCGUGUAAGUCAUCCCGAUUGACUGUGAGCCUUCUGAGGGGUUGGUAUGUGUUUAUAUAAGCCUUAAAGCAUGAAAUUUGCUAAUUUGUUAGUAUGAAUUUUGACGUAAAUAACGCCUAAAAAUGCAUGUAAUGUGAUAUGUGUGAUAUGUUAUUUAUAGGCAUGUUCAAUAUCUGUUAUACGAGCAUGCAUGAUAUUUAAACUCUGGUAUCUGUUAUUUCUAUUAUUUUCGGUGUUCUGUUCAUAUCUGGCAAUGGGGCGAGUUAUGUAUUAUGAGGAGGAAGUGUUUUGCUUAAGAUGUUAACUCGCCAUUAUACUAGUAGCACUGCUGUGAUUAUUCUGAAAAGUGUCAUAAGGACACUAAGUGGUGUGUAGGGAUGGGUGGGUGUUUUAUACCCCACAUGGUGUGCUGGGAUGGUCGGAGCUGAGGUGUAGAGGAUGGGGGUAGGAUUAUAUUUAUCUACAUCUAUACUACUCUUAUACGAUUCUGAUUCUGUAUAAGAAAUAUGAUUGUAUAUGUUCUUUUAUGUGAUUAGAUUUGAAUUUUUGUUUCUUUUGAGUUAUACACUAAGUUAUAAAAACUCACACUUUGUUUGUCUGAUAAUUUUAGGUAACCCUCUGACUUAGGCGGGUCGGUGCGACGGGAGCUCGGUUAUGUCCACAAUUUCAUAAAACUUUAUUUAAAUAAAUUUGGCUUAUUUAAAAUUUCUGAUUUGAGAGUUUUGUAAUUUUUGGACUCUCUAAACAUUUAAGUUUGUUAUUGGUUUGGAUUUUGUUUUGGGUUUUUGCUUGACAUUUGAUAAAACGAUUUUUUUUUUGAAAAAAGGCUAUGUUUUUGUGAUUAACUAUUUUUAAGAAAACAAACUCGGAUUUUCAAAAUAUAACGCUUUAAGAACUUUUGUUGCAACUUAUUUGAUUUAAUUUAGGAAAUGAAAUCAACUAUCAGUUUUAACUAUUAAGUAUGACAAACGUUUUUCAAUUAAAACGGACUUUUAAAUUAAAUAGCAAAGGUUCACAAUAUUUUUCAAAAAUCGAAAGUUAGAUUUAUAAUUAUUUUACGUAAUAUUCUAGAUUCAGCCAUAACGUCUAGGCCGGGUUUUAAGUGUUAAAACAUUGCUUGAACAAAAAAUAUUCAUAAUCUCCACAAACAAAUUGCAAAGAGUAUCGACAUCUAAAAUCAUGUUGAAUGCAUUAAGGGAUUUGAUGAAGCAUAAUCCUUUAGGACAAUACACUAAAAGAGUGGUUAAUGACUUUUGUUUCAAAUCUUUCUACCCACCUCUCAUUAUGGUGCAUCCACGUUUCACCCAAAUCCUUUUGUAGAAUUCAAAUAGCCAUAAAUCCCUUUUUAGAGUAUUCUAGUAGAUUGGUUAACAAUGCAUGAUAUGAUAUAGCUUUGUAUCCCAAUCCCAUAGAUGCUAUGGCAUCAAGGCACAGUUGAAACUUUGCGAGACCCUUUUUGCAUUUCUUUGAUAUUUGAUUAAACUUUUUAAAAGUCUAUUUGGGUGAGAGCUUGGGAAGAAAACUUUCAUUUCUUGCAAGGUUUUAGAAAAUAUUCUAAACAUAUAUUUACUUUUUGGGGUAAACAUAAUAAAUUUUUAAGAAAUUUUAAAAAGGGUUUUGAAUAACCCAAAUUCCCCGUUCAAAUUCCAGAGAUAGUUUUUUAAAAUUCCAUUCAUUUAAUAGAUGUGAUCUCACAAUAAAAUAAGAAAAAUGGCUAGCAUUUGGUACAUAUGCAAUGUACUUUUUUUAUUUCAAGCAUCCUUAAAAAAUUGUCAUGUCUCUUUUGUAAAAUUAUAUAUUUUUUGGGUAUGCAUUUGAUAUAUUGGUAAUAUAUUUUUUUUCCACAAGCAGUAUUGAAAAAUUGACAAGUCUCUUUUUAUAAAUAUCUAUUUUUUAAUAUUUUACUAUACUUGACACUUGUCAACUCUCUAACUCUGCUUGUGAAAUCUAAAAACUACACUGAUGGUAUACCAAAUAUUUUAUAUAACUUAAAAAUGUAAUAUUUAUUUAAUUUCAAUAUUUUUAUAUUUUAUAUUAUUAAAAAUAUUUACAUAUUUUUAUGAAUGUAAUGAUAUCCAUCUUGCAUAUUUUCAUAUUAUUUUUCUUUAUAAUUAUUUUUUAACUUAUUAAAUUUUAUUAACUUUAUUUUAUUAAAAUUGUUUUUUGAAACCAAACAAUUAAAAAUAUUAAAGGAUGUAUUUUAAAAUGGUAGCAUUUUUAAAGGCUUGAUAAAUUUAAAUUUUUAAAAUGUUUUAUCCACCCUAAAAGAUGAAAAGAUGAAGCAUAUAAUUGUAGUGGCCCGAAGCGAUGGCGGAGGAGACCAAGACGAAGGGGGAAAUGACUGAUGAGAUCAGAAAACCCAUCGAGUCACUUACUAAGUCUUUUCUUUUGGAAUUUUCGCCAUUUAACUCAGUGGUAAUUAUCUGAUAUUGACCUUUCAAUCCCCUUUGGUUUAUAUGCAAUUUGCUUUUAAAAUUAUUGUUUUCCUCUACUUGCACAAGGAAUAUAUAUAAAACCAAAUUAGCACAAUAAUAAAUAAAAUCAGUAAAAGAAGUGAAAUCCAUCUUCAUAUAGUGGAUUCCAUCCUCGUAAUAAAAAGUAUAUUUAUCGAUGUUGCAUCUAGAGUUGUCCAUUGCUUGGGCCUUGAAUAAAAUUUUAAGCUUGAGCCUAGCAUAAAAUUUUGUCCAAAUUCAGUCCGAAUAAAAAUUUUAAAACUCAAGUCCAGCCCAUAUUAAUUUUUUUUAUAUAAAAAAUUGAAAAAAAAUAAUACAUCAAAAAUAAAACAUUAAAAUAAUUUUUCCUAACAAAUUGAAAAUAAAUUAAAAAAAUCUUUAUACUUAAAUAACACUAAGAUAUGUGCAACUUAACUAGUAAAUGUUUCUAAAAUAGUAGCAAAAUUAACAAUAAAACAAUAACAACAAAAUAGUAGCAAUAUAAUAACGAAAUGGUAGCAAAACAACAACAAAAUGGCAGCAAACUAUUGGGAAAACAACAAAUUUUUUUUAAAAAAAUUUGGGUCGGGCUUGGGCCGAAAAACUUUACUCGAUGCUCGGCCUAUUUUCUAAACAGGCCUUAUUUUUUUAUUCAAGUCUAUUUUUAGAUCUAUAUUUUUACCCAAAUCCUCUUACUUUUUGGAAGAGAUUUCAAACCGGAUUGGGUUAUGCACAAGUCUAGUUGCACCAUAAUAGCUCUACUAUACGAUAAAUGUGUUUUUAAUAUAAUAAUUUGGUUGAAAUAGUAGAUUGUAUGAUAUUAAACUCACGGAAAUUAAUUAUUGUGCAUCAUGGAGAAAACGAUGAAGUAAAAUUUGCGUUUGUUAAUUAUGCAUCUAAAGAGUUGAAGUCUAUGGUUUUAGAAUUAAAUGAGUAACUCUUACGUUAUUCUUACUCCAUUAAAAGAAACCUUAAAAAUAAAAAUAAAACAAAAAAGGUGGUGCAUGGAGUAAUUGAGCCUAUUUUACUUGGUUAAUCGAUCUUGGAGUGCAGUGAUGUAAGAGAGUAUUUCACAAAAUCAUUGUAAUCUUUCAUGGCAUGUAUUAAUUUCUUUAUUAUGUUUGUGGAAUUAAUAAUAUAUAAUUUAUGAAACAUGAAAAGUUUAUAAUGUUAAUAAAAUUACUAUAUAUGAGAUUAUAAGUUAUUAUUACUAUUAAAAAAGAAAAAAGGAAAAUGAACAUCAAAAGAGAAGCAGCUCCCCAGUUUGUCCUUAAAUACAAAAAAAUGAAUAAGUUAGAUGAAAAGCCCACUCCUUAAGUCUCAAACCAAUGGCCCAACUAUAAUUUUAUAUUAUUUUUAAAUGAAGCAAGUAUAUUUUAAUGUAAUUGAAUCCCUAAUUCAAUCUAGUGAGUUAAAUAAAUAAAUUUUAAAAUUUUCACUAAAAAUUGAAAUAGUUAUAUAAAUUUUUUAAAAUUUUACAUAAAUAUUUUAUGUAAAAAUUAAAAUAUAUAAAAUUAUCAUAAAUGUAAAUAUUAUUUAGUUAUCAUUAAGAUAAGUAUUAUUUAUUGUAAUAUUAAAAUUUGUUAUCAUUAGAUUUUUAAAGAAUUAACAUUAUCAUUUAAUUUAAUUUAAUUUUUUUAGAAUUUUAUUUUUAAUUAUUUCAUUAAAUUUAAAAACUAUCACAAAACAUGUAUUUGAAAUAACUAGAUAUAUAAAAUUUCAAUUUUUAAUUAAAUUAUUUCAUUAGAUUCCAUUCUCGUAAUUAAAUUAUAAUUUUUGAGAAAAUUAGAAGAUUGAUAAAAUAAUUUAUUUAUAUUCAAACUUAAAUGAAGAUAAAAUAUGAAUACAUAUCCAAAAUAAAGAUAUUUAAUUAUAAAAUAUGAAUACAUAACUAUACAAUUCUUACAUUUAGACAGACAUCUAAAACUUGAUAGCAAACAUCCAUGUACGAAGUUCUAAUAAGUGGAAAACUUAGGUCUUUUCACUUGGUUUUGCAUGCAAUACAAGUAGAUUUUAUGAUUUUUUUUUUACAUGAUAAUAUAAUGUAACAAAGUGAAGUUAAAAAUAAUUGAAAUGCAAAUAAAUUUGAUGUGAAAAUAAUAAUAAAAUUAUAUAUUUUAAGUUAUCAAGGUUGACUAGGCUUUAAAUUAAGUGUUAUAUAUAUUAGCUGCAAGAUCUAACCUGAAUUCUUUAUUAAUUAAUUAUCAGAUGAAUAAAGAUAUCCUAUGUGAAUGACAUUAAAUAAUUAAUCAAACAUAAAUCAAAUCAAAGCAAUUGGUAAAAGUAUUUUAGCUUAAAUUGAUUUGAUUUGAUUUGAUUUGAAUGUUAUGUUUGGAGAUGAAUCGAUUAGUUUGAUUUUUAAAAAAUUGAGUUCCUAUAAGUAUGUUUACUUUUUUUUAAAUAAAGAAAAUAAAAGUCAGAAAUAAAUAGUGAAAGAAAAACUAAUCAAAUGAAGAUUUUUCAUUUUUAGAUAGAGACGAGCUUCCAUCAAAAUACUUGGUGGAAAAUUUGUUAGGAAAUAAUAAUAGUAUGAAUGAACCACAAAAUUAAUUACAUUCUCUUUUAUUAAAAAAUUAUUAAAAAGUCCAAAAUCUAAUCUUUAGAGUCCAAUUGUAAACUCAAAUGAAAUAAAUAAAGUAUUGUAAUAGCCCGAUUUUAGGCCUAGUCAGAACAGUGGUUUCGGGACUAUAAAUUCGACGAGGAAAAAUUUAUUUUUUAUUAUAUUUUUAUGGUAUAAAAUUUCACAAACUGAAUUCAUGAAAAUUUCGUUCAAAAAUGUUGACGUUUGGGCACUCAAUUUAGCCAACAUAACUAAAUUGUAAAAAAUUGCAAAAGUUGAACUCCACAUGUUAGAAGUGUCCAAUUGUUAUGAAAUUUUAAAUUGGAGCUCUUUAAAUGGUAAUUAGACCAUUGGUUAACUUGUUGGACAAAAAUGGACAAGAGAUAAGUGAAAUAGGAUUUUUUUUUGUUGGGGACAUUUUGGUAAUUUAGUAAUUAAAAGAAUUAAAAAGGCCAAAAUAGCCAAAAAAUUUUCCAUCUUCAAGCUAAGGCCGAAUUUAGCAAGGGGAGAAGCCAUAGUUAGGGUUUUCAAGCUUCCAAGCUCCAUGGUAAGUGAUUCUAACCCCGUUUUUAAUGUUCUUUACGUUUUUGGAGUCCCGGUAACUUGUUUUAGCUAUUUCUAGCAAUAAUUUAACCUAGGGUUUAUAUUUGGAAAAAUGCCCAUAGGUGAAAUGUGUUUAUUUUGAUGUUUUACGGUAGAAUAUGAAGUUAGAAAUUAUGUUUAAACAACUUUUGCUAAGCGAUUUUAAGUGAAAACGAGUAAAACGACAUAAUCGGUAAAAAUACCUAAUGUUCAUAAGUGUUAGAGUGGGAAUUUGAUGUUGCUAUAGAAGGUAAAAAUGUUAAGUAUGUCACAAAACAUAAGAAUAAGAGAUGAAGUUUAAUUUCCGAGCUUUGGGGCAAAAGUGUAAAUAUGUAAAAAUUUAGGGGCAAAAUUGUAAUUUUGCCAAAGUUGAGUUAAGGACUGUUUUGAUGAAUGUGCAUGUUAAAUAAGUUAAAUGUGUUAUUAUAGUUCAAGAAAGAAGUGGAAUCGACCUUGAUCGGAGAAAAGAAAAGAUUAAAGACUAAAUUGCUAAAUUUCUAUAUUGUUGCACCAAAGUAAGUUUGUAUGUGAAUAAUGCAUUAUUUUAAUUUUAUUUAAUAUAUUGAUGAGAUAUGAUUGAAUGUAGAAUAAAUAUUUGGUGUUGAUUACAAAAAUGUGGUUAAAUUUGAAAAAGUUGGUAAAAUAUUGUGAAAUAAGGUUUCCGAUUGAACACUUGGAAUAGAUCGGAAUACAUUGAAUAAAAAGGGGUCGCUAAGUGCAGAUUCCCCAAGGGGUUGCUAAGUGUUGAUUCCCCGAAUUAUUGACUCUAAAGGUGGUUGCUAAGUGCUAAUUCCACCGUAUCUUUGAUUGUGAAAGGGGUUGCUAUGUGCUGAUUUCCCGUAUCACUGAAUAUAAAGGUGGUUGCUAAGUGCUGAUUCCACCGUAUCUUUGAUUGUGAAAGGAGUUGCUAUGUGCUGAUUCCCCGUAUCACUGAAUAUAAAGGUGGUUGCUAAGUGCUGAUUCCACCGUAUCUUUGAUUGUGAAAGGAGUUGCUAUGUGCUGAUUCCCCGUAUCACUGAAUAUAAUGGUGGUUGUUAAGUGCUGAAUCCACCGAGUAACGGAUAAUAUUCCGAAGUGUUCAACGGGAAAAUUGGAAAAGUGAAAGUACAUGUAAAAUGGAUAAGAUUAUGUGAGGAAUAUUGGGUUUGAUACUUAAUCGACCCAUGAGUAAGGUGAUACGAAGUAUCAAAACUACUAAAGAGUAAAUUUAGAAAUAAAACAGUUUUGAACAACAGCAGUUGUGCAGCUUUGAAAAAUCACCAAAAAUGGUUUAAAUUGAAUUAGAGGCUGAAUAAUAUAUGAAAUUGAAGAUGAAUGACUCUAUUUUCACAUGAAAGAAACAGAGCAAGCAAAGAGUUAUAUAUUUUGAAAUAUUUGAAUUUUAGUGAAACAGGGCUGAAUUGAUUUCGAAACCCCCUGUUCCAGAUUUGGAAAAUCAUUAAAAAAUUUUAAAAAUAAUUAUGGAUUGUAAUUUACAUUAUUGAACUCCUAAUUGAGUCUAUUUUCAAGAGAAACAAACAAGAACAUCAUUUGAAUUCUGUACAAAGAGUUAAACAAUUUUUAGUGAAGAGGGUCAGAGCUGUUGAGCAGUGAAAUAUGGGAGAGUUUAAAGAAUAAACUGUACUAAUUGGCUAAACCAAAAAUUCUGAAAAUUUUAUGGUAAGAAGGUAUAUGAGUCUAGUUUUGGGAAAAAUGAACAAAAUUUAAUUUGGAUUUCUGUAGCUCCAGAUAAAAAUAAUUUAGUGACUGUAACUUGACUAGACAGCUUUAAAUUUAAAUAUAGGUGGAUAAUAAAAUUAUGUAUAAUGCUAUUUAAGCAUGUUAUAUACAUAAAGGAUGUGGAAUGGAGAGGAGGAGGAGGAAAAUAAAAUGUAUGAAUGAAUUGUGUAUAAAUAGUUAUAUGCCCGAUUAUAAUUGGUAAAUGUUAAAUUGAAUGGUAAAUAUGUAUUGGUACUGAAGGAACUAUUGCGGUAUUGAAAAGCAAUUGAUCAAAUGUUUAAGAAAUUUAGUCAUGAUAUAUAUAUGUGUGAUAAUAAUGAUAUAUGGAUGAUUAUAUCAUUGAGUUGCAUUGAUUAAUUCGGUUUAUGUGAUGGAAAUGUCAAGAACAUUUGUCUUUGAUACGUGAUGAUGUAAUGCCAUGAAAAUUUGUUUAAUUGUGUGGUUUAAAAUGUAUCUAUAUUUUGUUUUAUAACUUAUUUUGUAACCUAUUUGACAAAUGAUAAAAAUUAAUUCAGUUACUAUGCGAGGUGAAUUAUGAUUUGUGAAGCAUAUCUAUAUUUGGCAAUAAUGGAUAAAAUAUAUUUAUGUCAUGGGUGAAUGGUUAAACACUUGGGUUAGUAUAAAGUGUAUAUUUAGUAAAGUUUGUUGGAAAAGAAAUAACAAGUUUUGGUUUAUAUCGAAUAGAGAAAAUUUGUACUAUCUUUGUGGCUAAUUUUGUUAGCUGUAUGGGAGAUAAAUGGUUAAUGUAUGUAUGUGACAAUUAGCUUACCAGAUAGUGAACUAUUGAUAUACUACAAUAGUUAAAAAGGAAAAUUUGACGAUAUGAGAAUAUGUAAUGAUACGGAUCAAUUCAGGUACUCAGGACGAAUUCAACAAGUAAGUGAAAAUUUAUAAAUUCAUACGAAUAGGAAGUGAAAGAUUGUGAGUAUAUUUAGCUAAGUAAACCCUAAUUAACGACUCAAGAAUAACAAUUGGAAAGUUUUAAUUUGGAUGGAAUUUUAUAACUCGGAUUAAUAUGUCAAUAAGUGUAUUUAUUCUGGUAAUACCUCGUACCUUAUUCCAGCGUUGAAUACGGGUAAGAGGUGUUACAAUGUGACACCACCAGAUUCGGCCCUAAUGUUAGGCCGGGUUUAGGGUGUUACAAGUACAACACAUUGAAUAGUCUUUGUUAACAUUCGAAUUGUCUUAAUCAUCACAGUUGUACUUGUUGACUAACAAUCUUCAUCAUCACCAAGAAAUUACUCCAAAAUUUGUCGAAACUAAUAUUAAAAACAUUCUUUACCUUCCCUAUUUUAGACCCAUUCUAGGCAAUAAACUUCUUGGAAGUGAUCAUGGCUUGCAAAUGACACUUAUAGUCACGCAAAUUCUUAAAAGUAAUAAUAGUAAUAGCAAAACAUUUCUCACUAGGACGAUAAUAAAAGUAAUAAAAGUAAUAAAAGUAAUAAAAGUAAUAGCAAAACGUUUCUCACUAGGACGAUAAUCAACCCAAAGUCCAUUUGUGAUUAUACACAAAAAUUGUAAUAGAAUAAGCAUGCUAAACUAAACUCUUAACAUGAGAUGUUUUACCAACAUCCUUCAGAAUUAAAUUGAUAAAGGUGCUACACAUGGUGAACAAAAGACGUUACGAUACUUCUCAUUAAAAAAUUUCCUAACGGCUUUAUAAUUUGGAGCAUUAUAUGUAAUUAGCUAGACCACAUUGCUCAAACCAAAAAUUUUUACAAUAUUCGUAAAUAAAUUGCAAAGAGUAUCAAAAUCUAAAAUCAUGUCUGAUGCGUUAAAGGGUUUGCUAUAGCAUAAUUUUUAGGAAAAUACACUAGAAAAUUGGUUGAUGACUUUUGUCUUGUAUCUUUCUACCCACCUCCCAUUAUGGUGCAUCCACAUUCCACCCAAAUGUUGUAAAUCCCUUUUUGAGUAUUCUUGAUAACACUCUAGAAUAACAUAUUUUUAUGUAUUAAUUAUGUAUUUAUUCUGAGUAUGAUCGUGCUAAUUUGAGCUAUUUAUGAUCUUUUAUCUCAUAGGGACUAAAUUUGAGGCAAAAGCAAAAUUAAAGGCCAAAAGCAGAAUUAAAAGCCAAUGAUUGAACCCAAGGUGGAACGAGACAACUGGAGGCUGGAACCUCCCGUAAGAAUUUCCUUUCUCUCAACUCUAUUUUUAAUUUCUCAAAUUUUUGAUUCAAUAUUCUUAAUUCUGUAUUUAUUUUAUUUUUCAUUUCCAGAUCCAAAAUUUUAAUUUUGUUAUUUUUUUUUAUUUUUUUCAGGAAUGCAGGUUUUCUUGGGUAAGAUUCUGCCCGAGAUUUCACAGAAUAAGAUAUUGUGCAAAUCUAGUCCCUAAGGAUUUGACCUUAAUUCCCUUUUACUAUUCUUUUUCAUUAUUUAUUAGGGAUAGGAUUUUUUGGUGCUUUCAACGACUGCAUCAAAUUUUGGCAUCGUUGUUGGGGACUAGCAACGUACUAAUCUUGUUUUUUGUUUCUGAUAAUGAGAUAUGCUCCAGGUACUCUUGCGUUCAAUUCAGAAAUUGAAAAGACUGCUAGAGCCAAUCGCAAGGGGACAAAGUUACAGAAAAAGAAGUCAGCGGUGGUUGGAACUCAAAGUAACCCAUCGCCAGAAAUCAAAGUCGACGACAAAGCUAAGUCUAGGGUUAACGAAAACCUGACUCGAACACUUGAAAGCAAAAAAGUAAAAGUCGACUCACUAGAAAAAUUGUUUAACGCUAGGGUUAACGAAAACCCAAAUCUAGCACAACAACCAAUGGCUCAAACGAUUCGGCAAUUGGCCAAAUCUCCGACAGAAAAACCACCAUUGUGCAUCGCGUAUCCUACUAUGGGUUUAAUCCAGUUACUGCCAACUUUUCAUGGGUUGCAAAAUGAAAAUCCCCACAAACAUCUGAAAGAGUUUCAUAUGGUUUGUCUUAGCAUGAAACCUUAGGGGGUAACUAAGAAUCAGAUUAAAUUGCGUGUUUUCCAUUUCUCCUUAGCAGAUUCUGUUAAUGAAUGAUUAUUUUAUUUACCCCCUGGAUCUAUUACAACUUGGAAUGAUCUAUCUCGUUUGUUUCUGUAUAGGUUUUUUCUAGCGUCUCAAGCAGCUGAGUUAAGAAGAGAGGUUGUUGGAAUAAGGCAAAAAGAAGCUGAGUCCCUUUACAAUUAUUGGGAGUAGUUUAAGAAGUUGUGUGCAAGCUGCCCACAACAUGGUAUAACGGAGAAAUCUCUCCUCCAAUACUUUUAUGAAGGUUUGAAGCCUAUGAAGAUGAAUAUAGUAGACGCUGCUAGUGGAAAAGCAUUGGUCAACAUGACUCCCCAUCAAGCGAGAGACUUGAUCUCCAUAAUGGCUACAAAUCUCAAUAGUUUCGAGCCAAUCUUGAACCCCUAGAAGGGUUCACUAGCUAAGUAAUUCAACUUUAGAGGAUAAAUUUGAUAGACUUACUAAUAUGAUGAACUCUUUUAUUACAAAAAAAAAGUGAAGACAGCUUGAUUAUGCAGAAUAUGUACUACACCUGAUCAUGCAACUGAUACAUAUCCCAGUUUGUAUGAUGAUACCAUGGCUCAUCUGGAUGUUGUGGGAAAUUUUCGUAGGCUGCCACAAAGGUAAUACAACCCCUACGCUAAUACCUACAACCUAGGGUAGAGGGACCAUCCUAACUUAAGCUAUGGGGCCAAUCCACGAAAUAACCAACCAUACCAAAAUCGAUUUUCACAACAGCCGCAAGGUCAAGGUAAUCCUCUAGAAACCAUGGUCAAUAAGUUAGCAGUUAAAGUUCUUAUUUUUAACAGCAAAUCCAACAACAAACUCUUAAUUUCCAAAAAGAGAUGAAGGGUUUCCAAUAGAAAACUGAGGCGUCCAUCAGAGAGUUGACUACAUCGAUCGAGAAAUUGACCUCUCAAGGAAAGCUGUCGUCACAAACAGAACCAAACGCUAGACAAAAUGCGAAUGUAGUAAUGUUGCAAAGCGGAAAAGGUACUACAACCGAUUUCUGACAGGAAUCUUGACUAAAAAAUAGCCCAGGAAAAACUCGAGAAAGACGAACAGGUCCAACCGAAGCCUCUAUUGCCUAAAAUUCAUCCUUCAUUUCUAGAACGAUUCAACCAAUGUCAAAGAGGUAAAGAGGAUAAGGAAAACCUUGAAACAUUUAGGAAUGUCGAGAUCAACAUUCCGUUGUUGGAUGCCAUCAAGCAAAUACUGCGAUAUGCUAAAUUUCUUAAAGAUUUUUGCACCAACAAGAGAAAAUUAACAGGUAAUGAAAGGGUGAAUGUUGGUAAUAAUAUAUCCGCAGUGUUACAGUGAAAAAUGUCGGUAAAAUGCAAGGAUAGCGGUAUGUUUGAAAUACCGUGCAAAAUAGGCCAUCUGGGAAUUAAGAAGGCUAUAUGUGAUCUAGGGGCUUCUAUAAAUGUAAUGCCAUGUUCUAUUUAUGAAUCAUUUAACGCGGGUUUUUUGACAAAAACAAGUGUUAUCAUUCAAUUGGCGGACAGGACUAUUGUGCAUCCAGAAGGAGUCCUUAAGGAUGUUCUGAUAAAAGUUAACGAGCUUAUUUUCCCUGCAUAUUUUUAUGUGAUCAAAAUGGAUGAGGAUAGCACUCUUGAAUCUUCAGAUCUUCUACUGGGUCGACAGUUCCUUAGGACAGCUAGUAGUAAAAUCGACAUUCGAAGUGGAACUCUCACGAUGGAGUUUGAUAAAGAGAUCAUAAAGUUUAAUGUCUACGAUGCCAUUAGCCAUCCAAGCGAAAUCUUGAGCGUAAAUCGUAUCGACAUAAUUGACACUUUAGUGGAAGAGAAUUUUGAGUCAAUUUAUGGUGAUAAUUCUGAACUUGAUGAAUUUGAAUUUGUUAAUGAGUUAUUAUCUCCAAAUAUUAAACUGUUACCUUCUGUUCUACAAGCAUCAGAGUUGGAGUUGAAACUGCUUCCUGAGCAUCUAAAAUAUGCAUUUUUGGGGAGGGGUAAUACCCUACCAGUCAUAGUCUCCAAUAGACUCUCCACACAUGAAGAGGAAAGUUUGGUUCAUGUACUAAAAAGUCAUAAUGAGGUGAUUGGCUAGACCAUUGUAGACUUAAAAGGGAUAAGCCCUUUGACAUGCACACACAUGAUUUAUUUGGAAGAAGACACAAAACUGAGGCGAGGGGCACAAAGAUGGCUAAAUCUGAAUAUGAUGGAGCUAGUAAAAAAGGAAAUCAUCAAGCUUCUGGAUGCUGACGUAAUUUACCCUAUUUCUGACAGUAGGUGGGUAAGUCAGGUACAAGUCGUGCCGAAGAAAACGGGCGUGACAGGAAAGAAAAAUGCUAAAAGUAACUUGGCACCUACCAGAGUACAAAAUAGGUGGCAUGUUUGCAUUGAUUACAGGAAGUUGAAUUCAUACACUAGAAAAGAUCAUUUCCCUCUUCCUUUUAUAGAUCAAAUGCUUGAAAGAUUAGCCGAAAAAACUCACUUUUGUUGUCUUAAUGGAUACUCAGUUUUUUUUUUUAAAUUCUAAUCGCAUCGGAGGAUCGGAAAAUGACCACUUUUAUAUGCCGAUUUCAUACAUUUACGUACAGAAGGAUGCCAUUUGGUCUUUGCAAUGUGUCGGCCAUCUUUCAGAGAUGCAUGAUGAGUAUAUUUUUCGAAUAUGUGGAAAAAAUUAUCUAAGUUUUUAUAGAUGAUUUUAUUGUAUAUGGGAGUUGUUUUGAUAAAUGCCUUAAAACUUAACGAUAAUUUUGAGUAGGUACAUAGAAUUUAAUCUUAUCUUGACUUAUGAAAAGUGUCAUUUUAUGGUAGACAAGGGUUUAAUUCUGGGUCAUGUUGUUUCAUCUAAAUGAAUUGAGGUCGAUAAGGCCAAAAUUGACAUUAUAAAUUCUUUGCCUUAUCCCUCAACUGUGAAGGAAAUUCGUUCUUUCCUUGGCCAUAUAGGGUUCUACAGGCGCUUCAUAAAAAACUUCUUGAAGGUAGCUGAACCAUUGUGUGAGUUUUUGCAGAAGGAUAAGAAAUUUGAGUUUGGCCCAAAAUAUAAGGAGACAGUUGAUACCCUCAAGCAAAAGUUAGUCUCCGCUCCUAUAGUGCAACCGCUAGAUUGGAAAUACUCGUUUGAAAUUAUGUACGAUGCCAGCGAGCACAGUGUAGGAGCCGUGUUAGGGCAAAGGAUAGACAAAGAACCAUAUGUUAUAUGUUAUGCCUCGAAAACCCUAGAUGCUGCGCAGAGCAACUACACCACUACGGAAAAAGAACUCUUAGUCAUUGUAUUUGCUUUAGAUAAAUUUCGACCUUACUUAUUGGGAUCUAAAGUAAUUAUUUUUUCUGAUCAUGCAGCCCUCAGGUACUUGAUCGCGAAGAAGGAAGCAAAAUCGAGGCUCAUUAGGUAGAUUUUGCUUCUCCAAGAAUUUAACAUCGAGAUUCUAGACAAAAGGGGAGGCGAGAAUUUAAUGGUUGACCACUUAAGUAGAAUAAAAGUACCUUUUGACGACAUCCCUAUUAAGGAAGAAUUCCCUGAUGAGAGCCUAUUCUCGACUGAGGCACGUCUCUCAUGGUAUGCAGAUAUAGUAAACUUUCUAGCCAUAGGAUCGUUACCCACUGAGUUAGCACAUUCCAUGAGGGACAAGCUUAGACGCGACCCUCGAUAUUACAUUUGGGAUGACCCAUACUUGUGGAAACACUGUUCAGACUAGAUAAUACGAAGAUGUGUUCUAGAAACCGAGGUAACUUCUAUCCUUAAUUUUUGUCAUACUAAAGCUUGUAGAGGUCACUUUGGCCCUAAGCAGACCGCUCAUAAGGUGUUAGAAUGUGGGCUAUAUUGGCCCACAAUUUUUUCAAACACAAAUAACUUUUGUAAGUCUUGCGAUAGGUGCCAACAUACAAGUAACAUCACUAAAUGAAAUCAAAUGCCCCUUUUCCCGAUUCAUGUAUGCGAAAUCUUUAAUGUAUGGGGCAUCGAUUUCAUGGGCCCAUUUAUUUAUUCAUUUAGCAAUGUAUAUAUACUUCUUGCAAUAGACUAUGUUUCUAAGUGGAUAGAAGCAAAGCCUACUCAAAAUGAUAAUGCCAAAACUGCUGUGGAGUUUCUAAAACGAACUAUUUUUUCCAGGUUUGGCACACCUCGAGCCCUAAUCAGUGAUCGUGGCACCCACUUUUGCAAUAAACUGCUGUGAAGUUUCUAAAACGAACUAUUUUUUCUAGGUUUGGCACACCUCGAGCCCUAAUCAGUGAUCGUGGCACCCACUUUUGCAAUAAGGUCAUGGGGGGCACUGUUGGCAAAAUACGGAGUCCACCACUGUAUAGCUAUGGCUUACCAUCCCCAAAUGAACGGUCAAGUUAAGGUCUCGAACAGGGAAAUCAAGACUAUUUUAGAGAAAACAGUUCGUCCUAACCGAAAGGAUUGGAGCCUUCGGCUAAAUGACGCACUUUGGGCCUAUCAAACUGCGUAUAAAAGAUCAAUUUGCAUGACCUCGUAUCGACUUGUUUUUGGUAAAGCUUGCCACCUUCCGGUUGAAUUGGAACAUAAAGCCUAUUGGGCCGUUUGACAAUGUAACGUGGAGUUAGAACCCAUAGGAAAGGCAAGGAAAUUAGACAUCCAAGAGUUAGAAGAAAUUCUCAAUGAUGCCUACGAGAAUGCUCGCAUUUGUAAAGACAAGACAAUGUUGUUUCACGAUAAAAGAAUAGCUCAGAAGCAUUUUUCGGUAAGAUAAAAAGUUUUACUUUAUAACUCCAUGUUAAAGUUAUUCCCAGGUAAGCUUCGAUCACGAUGGCAAGGAUCUUUUAUUAUUACUGCAGUGUUCACACAUGGAGCGAUUGAAAUAGAUAGUGAAGAAUAUAGAAAGCAGUUCGUAGUUAAUGGCCAGUGGUUGAAGCCGUUCUAUGAGAAUUUUCAAGCCCACACGAUUGAGAAAACCUAUUUGGAACCACCAUAGAACCAAUAACGGCGUCGAGCUAACGACGUUAAUAAGUGCUUGUUGGGAGGCAACCCAAUUUUUCUUAUUUUUUAUUUUUUUAUUUACUUUAUUUAUUACCUUAUUUUAUUUUACUAUUUAUUACUUAUUUGGAUAUUAAUAAAUUUCUCUUUUUUUGUUUAGAUAAAACAGAGCGAAAAUGCAACGAAAAAGGAAAAAUCUAGAAAAAUAGAACCAAACAGCCCUGUCCAUGGUACCAAACAUCCUCUAUUCUUGAUACUAUUCCAACCCAGAAUGCCUGCAGCCAAACAACCCUAUUCCUUGUAAUACCCCCCAAAAAAUUACUAUCGUAAGAAAGUAAGAUAAUAUUCCUGAUAUAGUAAAAUAAGGAAAUAAAGUGAUAAAAAGGGUAAUUUUGAGUUAUGUCAACAUUGAGAGGUAUAUUAUGACUUAUUAAUUCAAGAAAGGAUUAAAUCGCAAAAGUGAGAAAAGUUUUGUGGCCCAAGAGUAAAAACUCUAAAUUUAAGGGGUUAAAGUGUAAAUAUGAAAAGUUGAAAGACCAAUAGAGUAAAUAUUUUAAAGGUAGAAUAAUCUAGAAACCAAGGAAAAUGGAUGAAUUAGGACCAAAUUGAAAAGGUGAAGAAUUUUGAGGGACUAAAUCAUAAUUUUACCAAAUUAAGUGAUGACUCAAGGAUGGAAUUUUAAAAGAACAUAAAUGGCAAAAUGAUCAAUUAGAAUAGAGAGAAAUCGAGAAGGCAAUAAUGAUGUUGGUGAUAUUUUAGAUUAAUUAAUUAAAUAAAUAUUAGUUUAUUAAUAUUUUACUUUGAUUUUUAAAUGAUAUUUUAUUAUUUUAUUAUUAAUCUAUUUAGUAUAUAUAUAUAUGGAAAGAAAGAUGAAAAACCACCAUUCCACAAUCUUUCCAUGCAUUUCACGUUAGAAGGGAAGAGAAGAAAGAAAAUUUUGCUUUCUUUACAAUUUGGUCCUUUUACCAAAAAUUUAUCAUUUUCACCUAGAUAUCAAAAGAAUUUAAGUUUGAUAUUAUUGAAAAAGCAUAGAAAUGAUGUUAUAGUAGAGCUUUCUUAUAUAAAGUCUUAUUUUCUUGAUAUAUUUGUGAAGGGAAAUAAGUGAAAGUGGUGGGAAAUAUUAUAGAGAAAGGGAAUAAGGGAGUUAUAAACUUAGUAAUCAACAUCUUGCACUAAAACAAUUUUGGACAGAAGCAAUAGGUUAAUUUUGAAAAAUCACCAUAAAUUGUGAAAAAAAUUAGAGGAUAAAAAAAAUUUGGAAUUUAAGCUUAUUGACUCUAGUUUCUCAUAGAAGAAACGAUGUAAGUAAUGGAAUUUUAAAUCAUGAGAUAUAAUAAAUUUUGUAAGACAAGGUCAGAAUGAAUUCGGGUUCCCCUGUUCUGAAUUUGGAAAAUCAUCAAAAAUUUGAGAAAAAUAAUUAUGGGCUUAAAUUUAUAUUUUUAAAUCCUUAAUUAUUCUAUUUUCAAUAUAAACUAACAUUAACAUAAUUCAAAUUUUGUACGAGGAGAUAAUCAAUUCUUAGUGAAGAAGGGUCGGAACUGUUAGACAACAGAAUAGGGAUGAAUUUAAAGAAUAAACUGUACUUAUUGGCUAUACCAAAAAUUCUAAAAAUUUUAUGGUAAGAAUAUAUGUGAGUAUAGUUUUAGAUAAAAUUAACAGAUAUCAAUUUGGAGUUCUGUACCUCAAGAUAUAAAUAAUUCAGUGACUAUGACUCAAGUGGAUAGCUUUGAAUGAAUAUAGAAAUAAAUGGUGAAAUUAUAGAUAAUGUUACAUAUAAGCAUGUUAUAUACAUUAAGGAUGUGGAAUGGAGAGGAGGAGGAGGAAAAUAUAUGAUUAUUCAACUAGCAUGAGUUUUCAUUAAAAAUGAUCAAUUUAAAUGUUUUAGGUUUAGGAACUAAAUUGAACAAAUGUGAAACUUUAAGGGUAAAUUUGUAAAAAUAUCAAAAAGUAACCAAAUUGCAUAAAUGAAUUGUUUUAUUAUUUAAAUUAGUAAAUUGAAUGAAAUAUUAAUUUAGAUCAAGAUUGGGUGGAAAUUCGAGAAAAAUAGAAAUUUUCCAAAAUGUCCCUGAAUUUUGGUAUUUCUGCAAUUUGGCCUGGUAAGUUCGUAUGAGCUAUCUUGUAUAAUUUUAAUUGAAGUGAAUGCUAUUUGGUAAUGAAUAUUAUAUAUAUGUGUGUUUUAUUAUUGGAAUUGAAUUAUUAUUGGUAAUAUGUAUAAUUAUUAGAUGUUUUGAAAUGAUUAUCGAAAACUCGAUUGGGUUGGAAGCUAGUUGGAGAUAUAUCAAAUUAUCCAUUGGCUUUAUCGGUAAUUUUGGAUGAUUUGAUUCUGGUUAUAAUGACUUGUAUAAGUUAAAUUGGUUAAUGUUAGCUCAUAAAUGUUUUGAUUUUGAUUGGCUAUAAAUAUGAGUGCCUGAUGAAAUGAAAUGUCUGAAAAUUAAUUUGUAAACUCCAGUAAUGCUCUAUAACCCUAUUCUGGGGAAGGAUACGGGUUAGGGGUGUUACAUUUAUUGGCAUUAGAGCUACGGUUUAGUCGAUUCUUAGACCGAAUGUAGCAUAUGUGAAGUUUGGAAUAUACAUGUCAUUAUAUAACCUGUGAUAGUGUGAUAUCUCCCAACCUUGAUGAGAUUUAUUUUACUUAUAGAUAGAGAUUCUUUUCAACUUAGCUAAUUUCGAUAAUAUUGAAAGCAUUAUACGAAAAGUGUAAAAGUGAUAUGCAUGUAUUUUGAUGUUUUAUGGAAGAAUAUGAAUGUUUGGAGUGUGAUAAACGACUUGAACUAAGUGAUUUUCGAUAAAAACACCUAAAAAGACUAAUUUGGAAAAAUUAUAAAAUAUGCCAUAAGUGUGUGAAUAAGUGAAAAUUGUGGAUUGAAAUUGUCAUAAAAUGGUUCAGCUAGUCCUAAAAUUCAAGGAAAUUGAAUAAAAAUUAUUUUACGAGCCUAGGGGAAAAAUUAUAAUUUUGUGAAACUUUAGGGGCAAAAACAUAAUUUUUCCAAAGUAUGACUUUUGGAAUGGAAUGAAUAGUGUGAAUGUUAUAUAAGUUAAAUGUAUUGUUAUAAAUCAAGAAAGACGAGAAAUUGAAAUUGAUCGAUAAAAAGAGAAGUGAUAAAAAGGGGAAAAUUCACUAAUGAACCUUCGGAAUAAAAAGGGAUACGUAUGAAGUUACAAAAAUGAUCACAUGUGUGGCACAGAUUGUGUGUAGGCCACUAUGUAAAUGUGAAAGUGAUGGUCACGUGUGUUGUACUAUGUGCAGGCUACUACGUGUACCGGAAUAAUGGGUUGCAUGUGUAGUACUAUGUUCAGUCUACUAUACGUACCAGAUAGCUUCGAUCACGUGUGUAGUACUAUGUGCAGGCUAUUACAUGUAUCGGAUGAAAAUGAUCACAUGUGUAGUGCUAUAUGUAGGCUACUAUGUGAACCAGGCACUAUUGACUAUAAAGGUGGUUACUAUGUACUGAUUCCACCGUGUAUCUAUUAUUAUUCCGAAGUGUUCAUCGGGAAAUUGACUAAGUAAAAAUACAUGAGAUAAUGUAAUGACUAAGUGGAAUAUAAUUUGAAAAUGUGAAUUGAAUAUGAAAAUGUGAAUAGAAAGCAUGAACUAAAUGUUUAUGAGACAAAUAAUGGCUCAAUGUGAUAGUAUAUCAUAUUAACUAAUGAAUGACUUAUUAUUAGAAAUAUAUUAUUGAAUUUAAUACUUAGCUUGGAUUGAACGCAGGAUUGAGUAUAAUCGUUCUGUGGCAAAAGAUGAAUUUACGGAUAAGACCAUAACUGGGUUAUGGCACCUGAACGUAAGACCAUGGUUGGACCAUGGUAGUAUAGAUACAUGUGUAAGACCAUAGUUGGACUAUGGCACAAAAAGAACAAUGUACUCAUAUCCGUAAACCGUUCUUCAAUUCAGUAAGAAAUGUUAAGAAACUUAUGUGAUUGAAAUGAAACAUUUCUAAAUUAAUAUUGAUAUGGUAUUUGACAAGGAAAUUAUGUAUGUUGAGACAAGUAAUAAACUCAAGUGUGACAUAUUGAGAAAAUAAGUUUAUCAAAGUUGAAUUUAUAUGUAAUAUGUGCAAGUACGCUAAUCAGUGGUGUUGCUUGAUGCUUAGGCAAGUGCCAAGCUAUUGGUUGAAUGGUAAUAUGAUUAUUUAUAUAAUGCAUUGAAUUGGUAAGUAUUUAAGUAAAAAUAUGCUAGCGCUCACUAAAAAGUGGUAAGGUUUAAAUUAUGCAAUUUCUUAUGAAAUGAUUUAUCAUGUGAUCAAUUCGAAAAAGAUUUUGGUUAAAUGCAUUAGCUUGUGACCAUGGUUGAAUGAUAUGUUUAUGACUUGUGUGUCAUGCAUAUGGAAUAAGUGUGGAAAGUAAAGAAAUGCAAAUGAAAAUAUAGAAAUUCGGAAGAGUAUAAAGUUGUUUAAAAUCCUAUAUUGCUAGGGAUAAAAUGAACAGGUAAUGAUGUGGAUUUAUUUACCUUGUAAGUUGAUGAAUAUAGCCACAUGAGCAUUGUGGUAUUAAUAUUAAAUUAUUCUUGAUAUUUAUAAAUUUCACAUUUGAAAUGAAUGGACAUGAUUAAAGUUUAUACGAGCUUACUAAGCAUUUAUUGCUUACAUACUUGUUAAUAGGGGUAAUCAACUGAUAUUACAAAAUGAAUGAAAUUGAUCGAUUGAUUUAUUAAAGAAAUGAGAAAGUUGAAAUUGUGAAUUAAAUGGAGACUGAAAAUAAAGGACAUGAACUAAAGGUUCACAAGAUGAUUAAAUUCAGUUUGAGGAUAUGCGAUAUUAAUUUGAUUAAUUGUUAUUGUUGAAAAUUUGAAGUUGAAGUAUGAAUUAAUAUAUAUACCAAUAAAUCAUUAUAUGUUUGAUAUUUAAAGGUAAUUGAGAAUGUGUAUUAAUUAUGAAUUUCCUUGUAAAUUGAGCAAAAAGGAAACAUAAGAUUAUAUGAAUAAUUCCAAAAGUAAUCUACUAAAGGUCUUCUAUUCUUAUGGAAAGGAAAAUGAAGUUCAUGAUCAAAAGAAAACAAGGAAAUUUCGAGGACGAAAUUUAUUUUAAGGGGGAGAGAAAUGUAAUACCCCCCAAAAAAAUUACUACAGUAAGAAAGUAAGAUAAUAUUCCUGAUAUAGUAAAAUAAGGAAAUAAAGUGAUAAAAAGGGUAAUUUUGAGUUAUGUCAACAUUGAGAAGUAUAUGAUGACAUAUUAAUUCAAGAAAGGAUUACAUUGCAAAAGUGAGAAAAGUUUUGUGGCCCAAGAGUAAAUACUUAAAAUUUAAGGGGUUAAAGUGUAAAUAUGAAAAGUUAAAGGACCAAUAGUGCAAAUAUUUAAAGGCAAAAUAAUCUAGAAACUAAGGAAAAUGGAUGAAUUGGACCAAAUUAAAAAGGUGAAGAAUUUUGAGGGACUAAAUAGCAAUUUUACCAAAUUAAGUGAUGACUCAAGGAUGGAAUUUUAAAAGAACAUAAAGGGAAAAAUGGUCAAUUAGAAGAGAGAGAAAUCUAGAAGGCAAUGAUGAUAUUGGUGAUAUUUUAGAUUAAUUAAUUAAUUAAAUAUUAGUUUAUUAAUAUUUUAAUUUGAUUUUUAAAUGAUAUUUUAUUAUUUUAUUAUUAAUCUAUUUAGUCUAUAUAUAUAUAUGGAAAGAAAGAUGAAAAACCACCAUUCCACCAUCUUUCCAUGCAUUUCAUGUUAGAAGGGAAGAUAAGAAAGAAAAUUUUGCUUUCUUUACAAUUUGGUCCUUUUACCAAAAAAUUAUCAUUUUCACCUAGAAAUCAAAAGAAUUUCCAUAUCCCUCAAGAGAGAAAGAUAACAAGGAGACUAUCGGGAGCUAAAAUAUCAAGUUAGAUUCAAGAACUAGAAGAUGGACGAGAGAGAAAAUCAAGUUAAAUAUUGAAACCAAUAGGACAAGGUAAGAACAUCAAGAUUUCAAUAUGUUUUUAAGUUUGAUUUUAUUGAAAAAGCAUAGAAAUGAUGUUAUAGUAGAGCUUUCUUAUAUAAAGUCUUAUUUCCUUGAUAUAUUUGUGAAGGGAAAUAAGUGAAAGUGGUGGGAAAUAUUAUAGAGAAAGGGAAUAAGGGAGUUAUAAACUUAGUAAUCAACAUCUUGCACUAAAACAGUUUCGGACAGAAGCAAUAGGAUAAUUUUGAAAAAUCACCAUAAAUUGUGAAAAAAAAUUAGAGGAUAAAAAAAAUUAUGGAAUUUAAGCUUAUUGACUCUAGUUUCUCAUAGAAGAAACGAUGUAAGUAAUGGAAUUUUAAAUCAUGAGAUAUAAUAAAUUUUGUAAGACAAUGUCAGAAUGAAUUCGGGUUCCCCUGUUCUGAAUUUGGAAAAUCAUCAAAAAUUUUAGAAAAAUAAUUAUGGGCUUAAAUUUAUAUUUUUAAAUCCUUAAUGAGUCUAUUUUCAAUAGAAACUAACAUUAACAUCAUUAAAAUUUUGUACGAGGAGAUAAUCAAUUUUUAGUGAAGAAGGGUCGAAACUGUCAGACAACAGAAUAGGGAUGAAUUUAAAGAAUAAACUGUACUUAUUGGCUAUACCAAAAAUUCUAAAAAUUUUAUGGUAAGAAUAUAUGUGAGUAUAGUUUUGGAGAAAAUUAACAGAUAUCAAUUUGGAGUUCUGUAGUCAAGAUAUAAAUAAUUUAGUGGCUACGACUCAAGUGGAAAGCUUUGAAUGAAUAUAUAAAUAAAUGGUGAAAUUAUAGAUAAUGUUACAUAUAAGCAUGUUAUAUACAUUAAGGAUGUGGAAUGGAGCGGAGGAGGAGGAAAAUAUAUGAUUAUUCAACUAGCGUGAGUUUUCAUUAAAAAUGAUCAAUUUACAUGUUUUAGGUUCAGGGACUAAAUUGAACAAAUGUGAAACUUUAAGGGUAAAUUUGUAAAAAUGUCAAAAAGUGACCAAAUUGCAUAAAUGAAUUGUUUUAUUAUUUAAAUUAGUAAAUUGAAUGAAAUAUUAAUUUAGAUCAAGAUUGGGUGGAAAUUCGAGAAAAAUAGAAAUUUUCCAAAAUGUCCCUGAAUUUUGGUAUUUCUGCAAUUUGGCCUGGUAAGUUCGUAUGAGCUAUCUUGUAUAAUUUUAAUUGAAGUGAAUGCUAUUUGGUAAUGAAUAUUAUAUAUAUGUGUGUUUUAUUAUUGGAAUUGAAUUAUUAUUGGUAAUAUGUAUAAUUAUUAGAUGUUUUGAAAUGAUUAUCGAAAGCUCGAUUGGGUUGGAAGCUAGUUGGAGAUAUAUCAAAUUAUCCAUUGGCUCUAUCGGUAAUUUUGGAUGAUUUGAUUCUGGUUAUAAUGACUUGUAUAAGUUAAAUUGGUUAAUGUUAGCUCAUAAAUGUUUUGAUUUUGAUUGGCUAUAAAUAUGAGUGCCUGAUGAAAUGAAAUAUCUGAAAAUUAAUUUGUAAACUCCAGUAAUGCUCUAUAACCCUAUUCUGGGGAAGGAUACGGGUUAGGGGUGUUACAUUCCUGUAGCCAAUCACCCUUAUCCCUACACCCAAACACCACCUCUUAGUAUAAAUUGACCCCCCAACCCUAAAAUUUUAAAACAUUUUUCCCUUUUCCUACUAAACCACCAUAACCGCCGCUCUUCCCUCCACCAUUGUCCCCCAUGCCAAACGACCCUACCAACAGAGGCACCCACACCUCAUCAGCCUUGAUGACAGCCAUCCAAACCCUCGGCCCAACCUCUGCAAUCCUCCGCUCCUCCGUCCUCCGACCUGACUUGAAACCUUUGGCCAGUAACUGAGUGAGCUCAUUGCCAUCAUAUACGAUUGACAUUAAAUAACAUGGGGAGUUUUUCUAAACUUUUCUACCUAUUUAUUUCUUUUCGUCCACAAUGAGGACAAUGUGCUUUCAGUAAGGGAGGUACUCUUCGUUAUUACUGUCAUUUUUUGCUCUGAUUUUGGUUGUUGUUGCUAUUGCUGUGAUUAUUUUUGGCUUAUGUUGCUGCUUGAGGCUCCAUUUUGUCCAUAUUUAUUUUUUAGAAUCUCCUGCCUCUUUUCAUGCCUAAGAUUUUUACCAAGAAUUGCAUACUGUUUGACCUACAAACAUGAUUCUUGUUUUUUAAAGAAAUUAUGGAUUUUCCAUAAUUGAUGUCAUUUCCACUGUUUUAUUCUUAUUAGGCUAAAAAUAAUUUUGAUUCAUAGAGUUAACUUUAUAUUGCUUUUCGUAAAAUUGAUCAAGUUUAAUACAAAGUGGACUCUUAAUAUGUUUACAUGUUAAAAUAUGUUCAUGACUAUUAAGGUAAUUACUGAAACUUAUUUUUGGCACUUGAUUGUUUUUUUCUCUAAAGUCCUCAUAAAAAAAAGUUAUUAUUAAAAUGUCAUUUAAUGUUUCCGUGGUUAUGAGUGCAGCUUAAAAACGUGACUGAUUGAGUAACCGGGGUAGGGUGCUUGGGUUGUCAUCCUAUUUCGUGUCAAAAGGUUGUGUGACGUGUUAGGUAAAACUCCACUAACCAAAAUUAAUUUUUAAGAACAUGUUAAGCUGAGUAACCGGGGUGGGGUGCUUGGCUGUUAUCUCUCUUCGUGUCAAAAGGUUCGAUGUGUUCUUAAGAAAAAAAUAUAAUAAAUUAGGAGUUUGUUGGGCUGAGUAACCGGGGUGGGGUGCUUGACUAUUAUCUCUCUUCGCGUCAAAAGAUUCAGUAUAUUCCUAAAGCAUAAAAAAUAUAAAUAAUAAAUCAAAAUCAAAAUAAAUAAAAAAGAAAAAAAUAUAAUUUGGGGACUAAAGGAGGAAACAAAUAGUGUGUCUUGGUAGGUUUGGUAAUUUACCUAAUUUUCAUUAAAUAAUUCAAGUCGAUUCUAAUUUUUGUGUGUAUUAAUUGGAAAACUUUUUCUGUUUUACUUAAAGCUAACUUAGGGUUCUCUUUAUUUUUCAUAUGCAUUUUUGACUGAUUUUUAUAAAACUUUGGAUUGGUAUUUCUUUUAUGGUAGAAUCUAACUUUCACAGUAGAUAGGAAUCAUAUUUAAGGGCAAGCAUGGGCUAAGUAGGGGGACUUUGAUAACACUCUAGAAUAACGUAUUUUUAUGUAUUAGUUAUGUAUUUAUUUUGAGUAUGAUCCUGCUAAUUGAGCUAUUUAUGAUCUUUUAUCUCAUAGGGACUAAAUUUGAGACAAAAGCAAAAUUAAGGGCCAAAAGCGUGAAUUUAGAGAUAAAAUGGGCCAAUGUACGACACAAGGAAAAGUUGGUGCCAAAAAUGCAAGCAUGGAGGACACAAGGGUUGAAAUGCAAAAAGAAGAGAUUUUAUUCUAUCAGACUCUAUUUUAAUUAUAUUAGGAUAAUUAAUAUUAAGAUAAUUAUUAAGGAUUAUUUAAUUUUAGGAUUUUAUUUUAUUUAUCUUUAUUUAUCUUCAAUUAAAUGUAUUUAUCUUUUGGGAGUUUAAGCAGGAUUAAACUAUUAUCUUUUGGGAGUUUAAGCAGGAUUAAACUAUUUCCCCUAGCACUAUAAAUAGGGGGUGAAGUGAUCAAAAGGGAUCCACCUUUUUCUAAAAACAUUCUCUCCCCAAAAGUCUAGGCCUUUGUUCUUCUCAUAUUUCCUUUCAAUAAAAUCUCUAUUUUUAUUAUAUUUAUUUUCUUUUCCACCACAACCAUGAGCCACUAAACCCAUCUAGCCAAAAGUUGUCGAUAUUCCUCAAAAAGGGUUUUUGAGGCUUAGAGUCCGUACUUAGCCUCCUCGCUGAGUAUUCAUCGUUUCUCCGCACUACAAGGCUGAUCCUUCCGUCCAUGUCCCUUAAGAAAUAAGCUUUUCAACGUAUGCAAAGGCGACUGCUUUGUAUGUUUUGGGAAGGUUGCAUAGUCAAUUCGUUAGCUUAUUGCGUCAGAGGCUGGCGAGCCCAAAAGACAAAAUGGCGUGGGAUUUGCCAUUGAGAAGCAUUGAUCUAGCAUAAGACGAUCCCACAGAAGCAAUUGUUGGCUAGAGUCAGGUUCCACUAAAUAGUAAGUCUAAAUCCUUGGAGCUGGUGGUCGUAGGCAUCCUCUUCCACUAUAACUAGCUUAUUCCGUUUGGGAAGGAUCAUCUAAAAGCUAAGACUUGAACCCAAGGCGGAACGAGACAACUGGAGCCUGGAACCUCCCAUAAGAAUUUCCUUUCUCUCAACUCUAUUUUUAAUUUCUCGAAUUUUUGAUUCAAUAUUCUUAAUUCUGUUUUUAUUUUAUUUUUCAUUUCCAGAUCCAAACCUUUAAUUCUGUUAUUUUUUUUUAUUUUUUCAGGAACAUAGGUUUUCUUGGGAAGAUUCUAUCCGGGAUUUUACGAAACAAGAUAUUGUGCAAAUCCAGUCCCUGAGGAUUUGACCUUACUUCCCUUUUACUAUUCUUUUUCAUUAUUUAUUAGGGAUAUGAUAUUUUUGGUGCUUUCAACAACCGCAUCAAUUCUAGUAGAUCGGUUCACAAUGUAUGAUAUGAUAGAGCAUUGUAUCUCAAUCCCAUAGAUGCUAUGGCAUCAAGGCACAGUUGAAACUUGUCAAUCUUUGAUCCUAUUUAUGGAGUCUAAAAACUCCAAUGGCAAUAGACCAAAUAAAUUAUUUUAUUUUUUUAAUAUUUUACUAUACCCCUAGAGAACACUUGUCAAUAUCUUGACGUUGCUUAUAGAGUCUAAAAACUUUAUUGGUAAUGUACCAAAUAAUAUUACAAAUAAAAAAGCAUUAACUUGGCAGUGUAAUUUUUUUAUGGCACAAGCAUUCUUAAAAAAUUAACAUUUUUUUAAUAUCUAUUUUUUUAAUAUUUCACUAUACUCCUACAGGACAUUUGUCCACCCUUGAUCAUGCUUAUGAAGUCUAAAAAUUUCAUUAAUCAUGUCUUAUUAUAAAAUAAAGAGAGAUGGAGAGAAUAAAGAACAAAGAAAAUAUGAAAGCAAUAGAGAAUGUACUUUAUUGAUCAAUUUGGAUGAUUACGAUGCUUCAUGGGAGUACUAUUUAUAGACAUAAGAAGUAUAAAAGAAGUAGAGAUCUAAUUCUAAUAACUAUUAGAACUUAAAGUACAUUAUAACUUUAUCCUGAUCAUGAUGGACAUCCACGUAAUAAAAUAUUCAUAACACUUCCCCUUCGAUGUCCAUUGGUAGAUAAUGUACCUUGUUAAAACCUUAAUAAGAAAAACUCUAUGAAAUAAAAACCUAAUGAAGGAAAAAGAGUACACGGUCUAUAAUACGCAUAAUAUGCUGCCUUAUUAAAAACCAUACCAAGGAAACUCAAUUAGAAAAAACCUCGGUUAAGGGAAAAAGAGUACAACGUGUAUUUACUCACCCUCAUGAAAACAUCACAUAUUUACGUAUUCAAUCUUGAAUACUAGUUUUUCAAAUGACUAUUUGAAUGUAUCACUAAUAAUUUAUAUCACCAUUCUUUUAAAAGUCAUAAGUGAGGGAAAUUUGGGGAAAUAUAUUUUGAUCUCUUCAGGAGAUUCAACAAUAAUCAUAACAAACUUUAACCAUGAUUCUUUUAUAAAAACACAAAUAGGUAUUUUGGAUCAUUUUAUAGUCCUUCUUUAAAUCACUAUUCACUGAGCAAAAUUUACCACUUAUAUUCAAAUUUUCUCGAUUCAUAUAAAUGAACAAUUUCUCGAGAAUUUCAAUAUGCUUCUAGCAUCCUAAAUCCUUUAAAGAUUUUACUAUAAACUUUACUAUAUAGUGAUUCAUAAAAGGUUGUAACAAUAACCAUUAGAUGCAAGUUAAAUCUUUUAAGAAUUGUCAAUUUAAUAAUAUAUGUAAAUAUUAUUGCAUCCACCACAAAAGAAUAUUAUAUCUUUUCAUAAUCAAUGCCAGAACUUAGCGAAAAACUUCAUAUUUUUAUUCCGCUUUUGCAGAACUACUUCAAUUAAACCCUCACUGGCUUUAUAUUUGGACUACUGGUCCAAAAAUUACAGAAAUUUAAUUGUACUUGAGUUAUGUCUUUCUAUUUUGAUCAAUUUAUUCCAUAUUUAUAUUUCUUAAUAGACUUAUUCAAGAUUCUCCUUUUAUCUCAUUAUUUCAAUAGUAAUAUUGCAUUCAAAAUUGUUGUCGACCAAUUUUAUUAUUCAGUUCCACAUUUUCUUGAAUUGACAUAACUUAUCGAGAUCUCUUUUUUUUAUUAUUUUAAAAUUCAGUUUCAGGUACCUAAAUUUCUAGAGCACCUGCCUCCACUAUAUGACCAUUUAGAAGAAUUUUUGUUUUUGGAACCGAUCAAUCUAUUAUUUAUUCUAACUGACUCUCCUACUGGGACUUUGAUUCAAAUUAAAAUAUUAGAUAGUAUAUAACACUUGGUUAUUCUCAUUAAGUUUGUAAAUACAUCUAUAAUUUACUUGUAAUGAGUUAUCCUUAUUGAUUUUCUGGUUCAAAUUACUCUCCCCCUAACUCAAUACAGGUUAUUAUUUCUCCCCUCUAAUGUCGGGAAAACUAUCAAAUCAAAACUGUAAUAAAAAAUCAUGUCCUAUUUGAAUCUCGAAUACAUUCAAAACAUCUAAUAAUAUAAAUAAACUUGUAAUUAAUAUAUAUUCUCAACUUUCUUUGAGGAUUCACUCAUCUUUGUGCGUUGUGGUGGAGCAAUUGGAACAUAUACACACAUACAAAAAUUCAAAGAUGAGAAAUAUUUAGUUCUUAAUCAAAAACCAAUUAUAAUGGGGAGUAUUUAUAACUUAUUGGCUUGAUGCGUACAACACACAUAAAUCAACAUAAUCUCAUGUUGAAACAGAAAGUUUAAUUCUCAUAAGUAAUGGUUUAGACAUUAAUCAGAGGAAUUUAAUCAAUAAUUUCUCUAAACCAUUAUGCACAAACUUUUACAAAAAAAUUUCAAACUCAUGAUCUGAAAUUAAUUAUUUAAACAAGCAAUCUUGCGAAUGAUAGGUUGCAAAUUGAUAACACAUAUGUGAUUAUUUUGUAGAUGCAUCUACCAAAAUCAUAUCAUAUUAAAAUCAUCUACAUGGUGGAUGAAUGAACCCGUAUUCAGUUCAGAAAUGUAAGACAUUAAAUCUCAAUUUUAGCUAGUGAGUUUCUAAGAAUCAAUUUUCAUUGAGAACAAGCAAAAAUGAAAAUUUUUUAAAUUAAAGAAUCUUCUGGUUCUUUAAUGAAUAUCCAUAUGAAUUCUCAAUUAAUUUUCGCAUCAUAUAUGAUUUAGGAUGGUCUAACUGGUCAUGCCAAGUAGUAAAUGCAUUUGUAUCAGAAAACUUCUAGUUUACUUUAACAUGUGUUUCAAUUGUACUAAAUUGUAACAAAUUAAUAAUUUCAAUUGUACUAAAUUGUAAUAAAUUAAUAAUUUUACUAUCAUUCCUUUGACUUUGUAUCCUCAUAAAAGUACUAUUGUGACAUAAACUACUGAAAAUCUCUAAAUCAAUGUGAAUAUUAUAAUGUCACUAAUUCAACAAAAUAAAAUAAUUUCCAAAUAAUUAUAUGCAAUAUUUGCUUCAAGGAAUAUGCCAAAAUCUUCAAAUGUAGGGAAUUUACUACAUCCACGUUAAAGAUCAUGUCUUUCAAAUUUAUUAUAUAUUGCUACAUUCUCUUCAGGGAAUGGUUAGGUUUCAUGGUUAAAAACUUUUUUUUAAUUAUAAGUAAUUUUUUUUCAUGAUACUACUACUGUAAGAGCACAUUUGAUCAUGAAAAGUUGAAUAAGUUCUCUCUUGCAAGGUUCUCAUCAGUUAUAUUUUUCCAAGUAAUAUUAGUUGAGAACUUAUUUUGAAUACUGUAAAGUUAUACUCACAGUUUUAAAAAUUUGCAACUUCAGGUGCAUCCAACCAUAACGAGCUUUAGAUAGAAUUACCAUAUUCUACUACUCACAUUUUUCUUUUAAAUUAUUCCAGAAUUUAUUUAGAUUUUUCACAGUCAAAUAUUUUUCUUCCAACCCUUUAUUAGGGAUGAUGACAAAAGAAGAUCACAAAGAUUAUAAAAUAAAUAUAAAUUAAUAACUCAAUCCUCUCUUUUUUAUCCUUUCAAAAUAGACAUCUGAUACCAAUUACAGGGUAUAAAGGAAAAUGCAAAAGUCUAUUGAUUUAUUUAUUACAAAGAAAAUUUUUAUAAGGAGAGAAUGAUAAAAGAAAAAGAAAGAUUUCUAAACUAUUUUUCGAUGCCUUCUUUAGGCUUCCUCUUUCUCUAUUUAUAAUUGAAUUCUAAAACUCUAUUUAAUUUUCUUUGAAUCUCGCACAGUUUUUUGAUAAGGAUCUCGUCUCAUCAUGAACAUGGUUUGUUUCACGUUGCAUUGUCUUGUCAAGUCAUUGAUUUAAUGGUUGCUUCCACGUCUUGUCACAUUAUUGAUUUGAUGGUUGUUUCCACGUUGCAAUCUCUUUUGUUUGCAUUUGGAUGCCUUCUUUUUCAAGUUGCUUCUUGAGUACUUUCUUUCCACUUGUCUACAUGUUUUGGCUUUAUCCCUCUUGGAUAUUAUUUAGAUUCAUUUCUUCUAUGUCAUCUAGAUGUAAUGAAUGUAAUUAAAGUCUUGGUAAUGAAUUCCAAGUCUCCCACAUGCUUUUGAGUUCUUCUAUAAUAUGAUAUAGAAAAUCUUCAAUCUCCAUUUCGACUAUCUUUUUUAAUAAUCUUAUAGAUUUUUCAUCUCUAUCAUUCUAGAUGUUUCCAGUGUCAUAUGCUAAUAUUCUUCUUCCAUCAGUCCAACGUUUAUAAAUUUAUUGUUGAAGUAAAUAAAUUUCUUGAGAGGUUUAUUUACAGAGUUAGUUGAUAAAAACAACAAGACUAUUACAUAUUUUGAUAGUCAAUGUGUCAUACAUCUCACCAAAGAUCAGAUGCAUCACAAUAGAACAAAGCAUAUAGACAUUUUGUCUCAUUUUGUUCAGGAAGUGCUUGCUCAAGGAGAUGUUCAGAUUCACAAAAUCAAUAGAGAAAACAACCUAGUCGAUAUGAUGAUAAAAAUUCUUCCAAUUUUCAAGUUCUAAAAUGCUUGAACUUGGUAAGCAUCUGACAAAGAUCAAGUUAGGCCCAUAACAGGGUUCAAAAAAGAAAGUUUUUUAAAAAAUAUGAGUUAAGGUGGAGAUUUGUGGGAUUUGCCUCACAUUUCAUCCGAAACAGAGUCGAUGUCGUGAUAAGGAAUAGCCAAUGUCCUAGCGAUGCAACAAAUGAUGUCCCUACGAGAAGAACCCGUCGUCCCGAAGAUGCAACAUGUAAUGUCCCGACGAACUAAUAGCAACAUCACGACAUGGCGACGUGUUCCCUACUAAAUCAGAUUUCUUCUCAUAAUUAUACUUUGAUAUCUUUUCUAGUCGAACUCUAAUAACUCUAGGGAUAUUCUAAUCAAGUUGGCCACGAAUUUUAACCUAUAAAUAGGGCUUUUAAAACACUAGAGAGAUUGAUUCAACAACAAAAGUAAGAGAGAGUUUUUGUGGGAAUUUUUGGAGAACUUUGUAUUUUUGAGUUCAGGCUUUUUUGUUUCUCCAUCUUGUACUGCUCUUCUGUAAUUUUCCUAUUUAGUGAAGUGUUCUUUGCCCAUGGUGUUUAAUCCUCUUCGGAGGGGGUUUUCCACGUAAAUAUUUGUGUGUAAUUUUCUCAUUUUUCGUUCUUGAUCAUUACACAAUGUAGGUUUAACCCAACAUGAAUCUUGAUUAUGACAUGGUGGAAGAAGUGUUGGAAAUUGAUUUGAGAGUUUUACAUAUGUAUUGAAAUAUUUGUCAAGUUUAAAUUGCAGGUCAGUUUGAAUGAAACUAGAGGAGGUGCUAUCGAAAUUUUUGUUAAAAAUAAAAAUUCUAUAUUCUUAAAUUGAUUAAUGAGAAUUAAGUUUGAGUUGCUUCGGCAACGGAUUGUGACAUUCUAUAUUCGGAUCUACCAACUAGAUCGAUUGUAGGGUGUCACAAAAGUAAAAACUUUUAAAGAUAUUAAAGAUGCACUUUAGUCAAAAGUAACUAUAAAAAAAUUGAAAAAGAAAAGAAACAUCUAAAGGAGGAGAGGGUUGCGCACAAAAAACAUAAAAUAAACAUGGAUGGUCAACAAGCUCAUUGAAUUAUUAGCAAAUUGAGAUGAUCAUGUAAAUAAUCAAGGAACUAAUAAAUCUUGAAACCAGGGAUAGUACUAGGGUAAAUAAUUAAUAUAUAACAAUAUUUAAUUAAUUUGUAAUAAGGUUUUUGUUUGUAAAAAAAUCAUAUACAUUAUUUAAAUUACAACUCAUCAAAAUUAUAUUUAUAAUUAAUUUAAUAAUUUUAAAUGUAAAUAGUUUAUUUUUAUUAUUUAUUAUGAAAUUAUAUUUUUCUAUAUUUAAACAUUUUUUAAACAUUUUUAUUUCCAAUUAAUUAUUUUAUUUAGUCAAUAAUUAUGAACGAAUCUUAUAUAUUAUAAAUGUAACACCCUUAGCUCGACCUGAUCGUUGGGUCCAAGCUUCGAAAUGCUACAGCCAUUGCAAGAACAACUACGAAUAGUUAACAUUCAUAUUAAAACAUAAAUCAUACAAUCAUAAUCAUUUCAAAACAUAAUCAAGUUAUAUGAUCUUUCUCAAGUCUUAUACUAGCAUACUUAUGAUCUAAAGUUAACAUGGAAUCGAAUUAGGACCAAAAUUUAACAUUGUCAAAAUUCCAACUUGACAUUGCAACAUGAGGGGGUUCCUCAUUGCAACGUAACAUAAUAACUUGGGCCUCAUUGUGGAGAUGAGGUUCCUCGUCACGCUGUACCUAAAACCCAAGUCUCAUCACGAAAGCCUAUGCCCACGUCGCGACGUCGACUAUUUUCUUGGCAAAAAAUAGGCCUUUUAGUGCUUAAUCCGGAUCAACUACACCAUUAAGACAUUUAGUGCAUUAUUGCACUUUUGUACCUACUCAAAACCAACCAAAAUACAUACCAAUACAUCCAUUUAACCAUUUCACACAAUCAAACAAUACCUCAAUUUGGCAACAAAGCAUAUUCAACAACUUGUUUAAAACACAAAUUAGCAUUCAUGCCCUAAAGCCAUUCAAAACAACAUUCAAUCAUGCCAUUUCCAUGUUAAACUCAUACUAUUUGUACAUUCAAAUAAACCAUUCAAACACUAUACAUAUGGUCCAAACACAUGACCAAAAUCAUGCCUUAAUAUAAGUGUAAACAUUAACAUCUCAUGAUUUAUGUACUAUCCCAAAUUCAAAUGAAACAUAUAGUUUCAAUCUAACACACUUAUAACACCCAUGUACAAUUUACAAUACCGAGUUGCAAAAUGAGCAAAAGGCUACCGAGUUGAUAGAGGGAUGGUGUGAGCUUUGUGAAGUCCAAUCAAUAAGUUCCACAAACCAACUAUCUACAGAGAAGGAAAAACAACUAGAUAAACCUUUCUGAUGCUUAGUAAGUUUGAAGGUAAGAAAAUGGUAAACUUAUCUCGAUUUAUAAAAUAACAUAUCAAACUAAAUAAUUUUGGUAAAGAUGACCUAACAUAACAAAUCAUAAUAAUAAGGUCAGUUUACCAAAAUCCAUCACAUAUGUACCAUUUUAUAAUAUAUAUAUAUAUAUAUCAAUACCUAGUAUUUGAGUGAUUAUACAAGAAUACUAAAACUUAAUAUUCAAUUCAUACAGUAAUACACGUUUGAUCGUCAAAUAUAUUUCGAAUCAUUUAUAUUUCCCAUUACUUAUUUCCCAUAUUACUUGAUGAAACUCAAUAAACAAGCUCAAAUACAUAGGUACAAAUCACAUCGGAGGCUUAUUUGAGCUAAACAUAUAAUCAUCUUAGGUUACCAGUUCGGGCUAAAUCUUUAUAUCGACACAUCAGAGAGCUUGGCCAGAGCUAUACAUAUCGAUACGGGAUUGAAGCGGAAAAAGCAGAUCAGGACUGAAUUCAAGUUGUUUGACUCAAGAAGGAAAGAUUUGGAUAUAGUCUGAAAAGAAAAACAUAAACAAAUGUAGUAAUAAAGAAAUUGAAAAUAGUAAAGAAGAAAUUUGAGAAUAAAAAAAUAAAAAUCAUAAAUAAAUAAGAAAUAGAAAUUUAAAAAAAGAACAAAGUGGAAUAUGGACGAGUAAACCUAUGGAUAUGAUGGAUAGAAGGAUAAAUGUCUAAUUGAACCCUUUGAGAUAUAAAUCCCAAUAGACUAAAUUAAUGGCUCUAAUCAACCCUUUAAGAAAUAAUCCUUGAAGAAUGAAUUGAAUGAUGAAGAAUGAAUUCCCAUGACUUCUUGAAGAAAAUCAAGAAUAAAACUACUUUUAAAAAUCACAAGAAAGAAAUCUUGCACAAGAAAAAAACUCCCAGAGUUGAAAACUUUAUUAAUGAAAACAAUUGUCUCCUUAAUAAAAAAUGAAGAAGCCUUUAUAUAAGCUAGCUAAGUACAUCCAAAUAAAACUCUAAAGUAUACUGAAACUCUAAUUAAUCUAAAGAAAAAGUAGUUUUAAACAAAACUUUUUUAUUAACAUAAAACUUCUAAAUAACUUAAAAUACUUAAUAGUUAUAAAAAAUUCGUAAUAAUCAAAUAAUAAGAGAUGAUAAAUACAAUAUUGCACUCAUAUAUAAUAAAAAUUAAGCAAAAAAUCUGAACCAAAUAUGAUUUAAACUUGAGUUAAAAGCACAAAACUCAUAAUUCCCGUCAUAAUCCUGUCCAAAAAUUUUGCUCUUGCAGUCUUCACUAAAAUGGUCAUAAUUUGAGCUCCUGGACUCAAAAUCGAGUGAUUCAAAGUGUGUUUUAAAGCUAAGAGAUAGAACUUCAAACGCCACGAAAUUUCAACCCAAAAAUGCCUAGAUCCCAUUCAAAAAGUCGAUGCAAGUAUGCUAAUUUCCCAAACUUAAAAAUUGAUAGUUUUGGUGAAUGCAAUUUAAUAAAUUUCACCUCAUCCGUGCAUGUAUCACAUAUAUAUAUCAGGUUAUUCGUUUGAGCUAAACCUUUAAAACAAAAUCAGGUUACCAAUCCAAGCUAAACUUGUGUCACAUGUAUAUUCAAGUUCGCAACAAAUGUUGGAUUCUUGAAAUUAUCAAAAAUCAACCUGUAACCAUGUGUAUGAUACAUUUACAAAGUUGCAUCAUUGUAAUUUGUAUCAUGCAAGUUCAUAUUUAUUUUUUUUUCAAUUUAGUCCAAAUCUCACACUUUAGUACUAAAUUGAAAAUAAUCCAAAGUUCAAUAAAACAUACAUGUAUUCACAAUAUUGCAUACAUAAGGGUCUAAACAUAAUUGCACCAUAUGAACUUACCUGGUAAAAUAACAGUAAACACAACUUUGAGGACUAUUCUACAAUUUUCUCUUUCUCGCAACUAUCCUCCGACUGGUUCAAAUCUCGGUCUACUUCAUAACUUAAUUCAAAUAUCAAUUCCAAACUUCAUUUAACAACCUACUAUAACUAUGUAUCAAUUCAAUUUCAUCUAUCCAUGUUUUUUUAUUUUAUUCAGUUUAGUCCCUAAAAUUAGAAUUGUCAUAACUUUCAAAUUAAAGCUUGAUUUUGAAACUCAAUCUCGAUUUCAUCCUUCUACAGUCCUAUAAAUAUCUAUAUUUACAAAAAUUUCAUGUUAAAUUCAAAAUAUUCACACUUUAGUCCUUAUGUUCAAAACUAACAAUUUUCACUUUACAAACUAGUCAUUUGUUUCAUAUCUAAGCUUAGAAUCUAACAAUUUAACACCAAAAGUUUCAAGAUUCAAUAAUAGAAACUUUUAAAAACUUAACAUUUUUGCAAAUUGGUCCACAGGUAGCUCCUAAAACCUCAAAAACAUAAAAUUACAAUAAAAUGACUAAAUUAAGCUUACCAAUCAAGGACCUGAAGUCUUUUAAAGCCAAACCCUAUCUCUCAUUUCGUUUUCAUGAGAAAGAAGAUGAUGAAUGAAGAAGAAUAAAAAUUUUAGCUUUUGUUUAAUUAAUUUUAAUAUAUAACGUAAUUUAAUUAAAAAUUUUAACAUAUAUUCACUUAAAAGAAAACACCAACCAUCCACCACUACUUAAAAAUGGCCUAAUUGUCACUUUCAACUGUGGUUCAAUAUUAUGUAGCCCUUUUAUUAAUAAAAAUCAAUAGUGAUUAAUUUUUUACCGCUUUAUAAUUUAGUCUUUGUACCUAAUUAGUCACCAAAUCGGUGAAAUUACCUAUCCAAAAUUCAAUUCACAUAUACAGUAACUCCAUAAAUAUUUAAUAAAAAUAUUUAAGGGUUCGAUUUACAGAAAUGAGGUCCCAAUACCUCAUUGUUCAACACCACUCAUUUAAGGGUUGAAACACUUGUACUUUAACUAACAUUCAAUUAACAAAUUUGUCAAACCAAAAUUUAAUAUAAUAUUAUAAUCUUAAUCAUCAGAGAAUGGGGUUCUAAAACCACCAUUUCCAGCACCACUAAAAAAUGGAUUGCUACAAUAAACAUCAAUUAAAUUAUUAUUUUUGUAUGUAUAGUUAUUAUUAUGUCAAAUUUUUAUUUUAAACUUAUGGUCAAUUAAUUAUUUAGAUUUAAAAUAUCUUUCAAAUGAUAGCAUUUUUUACUUUGGCAUAAUGAUAAAAAAUUAACCCCUAAAAGUUGUUGCUUUGUCACUUUUGUUAUAUUUCUUUUUUUUUUUUGGACCACUUUGUCCCCUAGCAUUCAAAUUUUAGUUAAACUGCAUUUCUUUAGGUGAAAAUUUUGGUUAAACUAUUAAAAUUUUAAUGGCAUCAACAUGACAAUUUGCAUAUUCUUCAUAAAAAUUUAAAAAAUUAUUAAAAUUAUUAAAAUUUUGAUAAAGUUUAAAAAAUUCAGUAAUUUAUACUCUAAAAAGAAGUACAAGUAAACUAUUAUGUAGGGUACAACAUUAGUGUCAUUAAAAUUUUAAUAGUUCAACCAGAUUUCCAUCCACAAAAAAUAAUUUGACUAAAAAUUGAAGGUUGAUGACCAAGGUGAUCCAAAAAAAUAAGGUUAAAGUAACAAAAUGGAUAUACAUUAGGGGUUAAAUUUAUCAUUAUGCCCUAAGCUUUUUAAAAUAAAGAUAAAAUUAUUUUAAUAUGUAGUGGUUUGAAAUUUUAUAAAUUAUAUGAAUUCUUUUAUGUUUUUUUACCAUAAAAUUAUUUUAUAUUAUUAAAUAUUGCUAAUAAUAAAUAUAUUAUAUAAUAUACACAGUAAUAUCUUUCACGUGAGUUAAAACUAAUUCCAAUUUUCAGAAAAUGAGACAUGUCCAAAGCAAAUUCAAUUAUUUAAUCAUUUGAAACUUGAGUCUUCAUCCUUGCAACUUAUGUUAUGCUUCAAUAAAUGAACCCCACUUUGAGACAUUUUGAGGAGACAAAGUAGUUAUAGAAAUAAUUAUAAAAUGCAUAAAUAAAAUAAAACAAGAUCUCAAGAAAUAAAUUGAAACAACGCAUACAGAUUAAGCUCCAUCUAUUGUAAUUUAACACUAUAUUUCUCUCGAAACUAGGAAAUUUAGAAGCAAACUAUUUAAAAUCAUACACCAUCGGGCUGCUUUAGGUUCAAAUGUGAUUAUGUACAAAUGAUAAUCUGAUUACAUACUUAGCGAGCACCUUCAAGUUCAAAUGUGAUUCUGUUAUUUAUGCUAUCAUACCCCAUCCCUAUCGAGCUGCUUGUCACACCAUCGUCGUAAGUGCUGGGAAACUUACCAAGCAAGUAUUCAGAUUCUUCGCUUACUAAAUUACUUUUACUCCAAGGAUGUUUAGCCAUUGCUUGCAGUCCUGCUAAUUCAUGGGCAACUUCCUUCAUUGUUGGCCUUUCCUCUCCCUUCACUCUCACACAUCUCCUAGCUAAAGUUGCUACUUCCAUAAGCUGCCCAACAUUUUCAUCAUUAAGCACUCGAGGAUCGAGAAUGUCAAGCAAACGGUCUUCUUUCAUCAAAGAGGUGAAGUACAUUGGCAAAACUCGAUUUUCUUCCGGUCUUUUGAAACAUACCACUUUUUGUCCUGUUAACAACUCCAUAAGCACAACCCCAAAGCUGUAGACAUCACUUUUUUCAGUAAGAAGGCUUGAAAGCAUGUAUUCAGGAUCCAACUAACCGAAAGUUCCUUGCACAAUUGUAGUUAUUUGUGCUUGGUCGGAUGGGAUCAAUCUGGAAGCCCCAAAAUCAGAAACUUUUGCGGUGUAAUUGUCAUCUAACAGUAUGUUCGCCAACUUGAUGUCUCGGUGAAUGAUUGGAAUGGAAGCUGCAGAGUGCAAAUAAGAAAGGGCUUCUGCUGUUUCAGUGGCUAUUCUCAAACGGGUCUCCCAUGAAAGAUAAGAGGUAGCAUCAUCAUUAUGCAAAUGGUGAAAAAGGGUUCUGUUGGUGAUAUAUUCAUAAACUAACAGCGGAACUUGUGUCUCCAAACAACAUCCUAGGAGUUUGACAACAUUCCUAUGGUUGAUUUUGUAGAGCACCAUUAUUUCAUUAAUGAAUUGUUCAACUUGGCUAGGAUCUCCAAUUAUUGACUUCUUGAUGGCAACUAUUUGAUUAUCAGCCAAUAUUCCCUUGUACACUGUCCCUUGCCCUCCCUGUCCUAAAAUUCUGCUUUCAUUGUAAUUGUUUGUUGCCUUCUCGAGUUCCUCAGCUGUAAAUACUUUAACAUCUUCACGGUACCCUUGUCGUUUUGAAAGUUGUUCCCGCAACAAAAUGCCACCAUUUUGCUGAAAGUUAGCUUCUCUUAAUUUGGAAAUUUGCCUUUGCCUCAGCAUCCAACACCACAAUACUAUCCCCAAGAGAAGACCAAGAAACCCAAUGGCAACCCCUAAGGUCAAAGCAUAAAAUAAUAAUAAUAGUUACAUUAGCCAUGGUAAUGUAAUCUAAAAGUGAAAAGUCAUGCAAAAUUGUAUAUUGAGAGUAAUAAAUAACGAAAUUGUUUGUGUCAAGCAGAUCCAAUUGACUCAAGAUUGAGUUGGGUAAGUUAAGGAUGAGUCCUGCUUGUGAAUCUAGUUCCACUUGUUUACAAAUUACUUCAUAAAAAUAUAACCGAAAUUAUUGUUAGAUAUAAAAAAUAAUUAUUCCAUAAUGGAAAUUUGUGGUUAAAGAUGAGCAUGGACUCACGCCAAGGCUGCAGAGAAGUUUGCCGAUUUUUUUAAGGAUAAAUCUCAAAAUUAUACAUGAAUUAUGGUUUAUUGUGUAAUUGUGUACAUGAAAUUUUGAUUUGAUCCAUUUUUUGUAAUUUAUUAAUACAACUAUUGAUAUAAUAUCAUUUCAUGAUUAUGUAUUGUAUACAUAAAUAGUUGUAUUUAUUCAAUAUAAAAAUAAAUUGAUGUAUUUAUUUCUUUAAAUACGUAUGAUUAAAUUAAAAUUAAAGUUUUAAAUAUACAUUUGAACCACAAUUAGAGUUUCAUGUGUAUAACUACACCAAAUUAAAGUUCAUGUAUACAAUUGCACAUUAAACCAAAGUUCAUGUAUAAUUUUGAGAUUUAUCUCUUUUUUAUUUUAAUUAUUUAUAUUUUAAAUAAUUUAACUAGAGUAAGAGAACAAGUUGAAUAUGGAUAAGUGUAUAAUAAUUUCAUGUAUUUAAAAUUUGAUAACGAGUCAAAAUUUUAUUGAUGCUUAAAAUCUUCCAGCUUCAUUUAGUUUUUGAAAAUAUUUUCUAUUUUUAAUAAUAAUUUUUAUUUUUUAAAAAUUAAAAAAACAUGUUUGAUAAAGAGGAAUAAAAUUUUGUUUUCAAUAAUGAAAACAGGAUUGGUAAUUAUUUUUCUAUAAUAGAAACAUGAAAAUUGAAAAAAAAAAAUGAAAAUAAUGAAAACAAAAUUUUUCUAUUUUUAUUUACAAAGUCUUUUUAGUACAAAUAAUGAAAACAAAAUUUUAUUAUUUUUCUAAUUUUUACAAAUUUUCAUAAUUUUUUAAAAAUUAUUUUCAAAAAUUUGAACUAAACACAAUUUCUUGAAUGUUUUUCAUUUUUCAAGAAAAUGAAAUUGGAGUUUACUCCCUGAAACCAAACGGAGUAUUUUAAUUUAUAUUUUGGGGUUACUAACCUAGAGCAACAAUAAGAGGAGAUGUCUUGGACUGAUCCUUGUUGGGUAAACUGCAACCUGUUCCACUUUUCUUACCGUCUCCUUCAUAACCUACCGGACAUGAACAAUUGUACGUCCCAGGUAAGUUGAUACAUCUUGCCGUUCCAUUGCAAGGGCUCAUACUUUCACACUCGUUUAUAUCUGAAAUUUGCAGAUUGUAUGCAAGUAAUAAGUAACACUAUCUUUAAUGUUAGAAACUACAAAUCCAUGGGGUAUAUAUACCUAUAGUUACCUUGACAUCCAUUAGGGAGGUAAGGGUUCCCCCCGUAACCCUCAAGACACUUGCACAAAUAUCCAGAGUUAUUUUCUGAAUCAACGCAUUUACUAUACUCUUUGCAUGCAAAAUUGUUUACAUCCAUAUUCGCUUCGUUGCAACUCGUAUUCCCGAUGUUCCAAUCAAGAGUGAUUGGAAACUGCCUGCUUUGAAACUCAAAACCACGAAGAUCUGAAGCAGAGAAGUUAUAACUAUCGACCUCUGCAACAAAUGCAUAGCUGCAGGGGUUUUCGGGCAACACAUUGGUAUGGUUGGCGUAGCUUGCGAGACUUAUGCUGUAGCUCCUCACAUCCUUUGGGAUACUUGUCUGACAGCAGCCAAUCCCAGAGCAAGACCCGUUUGAAACAUCAGUGAUGUUGUUACAGAACGACAAACAACCAGUUGCGUAACGUUGUCCGUAGGAACCAGCUUGCUGCACGAGAGCAUACGUGUCGCACCCGAUUGCAGUAAACUUGUUCUUGUUAUUGUUUAUUAAAAAUUCAGAAAGCCGGAAGUAGUAAAAUAACCAAUUCCUGUAUGAUGUAGUGUUGUAACAAUCAUAACUUGUAUUAGAAAGGAUGCGCAACUGACCAUCGGUAGAUAUGUUGAUGACUUCGACGUUAAGGAAGAAUGGUUUGUGGGGUAUGAAACUGGUGUUACAGUUGAUGAAAAAGCCUGCAGUGAUGUUGCAAUCGCCGCCGGUACCGAACGGGUAUGGGAUGAUAACAUCUCCGCAGUGGCUUGGGCAGCCAGGUUUUGCUACCGCUGGUGUUGAAGCUUUUACCGUCAAUAUAACAUUAAACAAGAUCAUCAGCUGCAUACGCACUAGUGAUCUGAUGGAACCCAUGGAUGUUUUUUCUAGACUGGGGGAUACCAAU
rnacentral:lncRNA from 1 species